UCUUCAUCAUCUUCAUCAUCACCUUUCAAGCAUCAAUGGCCAAAGCAGAGAACCCAUUGCAAGAGUUCUCAAAUAGAGAAGAGUUGGUGCAAUUGGCUGGUUACGGGGAGGAAAAGCUAUCAACCGUGCUAGUCACAGGCACGAUUCUUUGUGAGGCUUGCUUGAAUGGUGGAACUCAAUUACUCCAUGCAUGGCCAGUAUCAGGUUGUUUUUUUCAUGUUCCUCAUUAAUUAAUUACAUAUUGAUAUUGUGAUAACUGAUCUAGUUUAAUAUCCUGAUUACAUGCAUUUAGUGUUUCUUUUCAAGUUUGAACACAAAUCAUUAUAGAAACUGGCCAUGAACAUAUUGAUGUGAUAACUCUUCACUUCUUUAGCCCAUGUUAUCUAUUUCUUUUCAGCUUUCCUCUCGUGGAAAUUAAUUUCCAUGCUUCUUCGAGUUACACCCUCAACAAUUUUGGAGCUGUUAAUUAACCCUCCCCCUGCAAUAUUUUUUGGACCUUUCUAAUUUCCUUGUAAUUACUUGUGUACAAGUAGUAUUUUUUCUAGGCUUAUGAUCUUAGCCUUAACUCUUAGCUAGUUUUGCAUAAGGUUUGGUACUGUAUUAGGGUUUCUUGUUAAUCUUGUACGUACUUAGUUCUUGAAUAAUGAUCUUUAAUUGUUUGAGAGGUCACUAGCUAGCUUUCAACCUAUCAUGGGUAGAAAUAACAUAGUUUUCAGCCAAACUUGUCAUCAAAGGAAAAAUUAAUUAAGCAUGAAGCUACAACUAGGGAGUGUGUGAUCAUGGGUUAUUUAUAUAGGUGAAGAGUCAUCAUGGCUGCUAUCUAUGUCAAGGCAACUGCAAAAUGAAGCAAUAUAUAUACGAAGACAUAUUAUUAUCAAAAUACAGCUCUUUUUUCUAUUUAUUUUCACUCCCUAUAAGCCUUCAUCAGAACAAGGGUGAAGCUACACAUUUAACAUGAUUUCUGGCUUAUAAUUUCAUCUCUAGCUAGCCCAUUGAAAAAAUUUGAAUGCUAAAAGGGUAGGUUGUGCCUCCUUAGGCACUUCCAAAUCUUUACUUUUCAUGUAAGAAAAUUGUUCUUCUUUGAAGCCUUCAGUUUGGAAUUUAAUUUGCCUUUGAUACAAAUUAAUUAACCACACAUUUACAUUUUUAUAUAUAUAAUUUUAUGUCAUCCAUAGUUAUUAAAUCCAACCAUCAUGAAUAAAUCCAAAAUUUAAUUAAUCUAUCUUUUAACUCGAGCUUAAUAUAAUUUAUUAACCCGAUAAGUUUAAUAAAUGAAUGCCUGGAAACAAAGCUAAGAUCCACCGACCUUGACUACUAUGAUCCAAACCACCCAUAUUUUACACACUACUUUGGAUAAGAGUAGAUAGAAGCCCUGGAUUAAAACACACACCACUUGCUGUCACCACAGUCAAGGCCCAAGUGAUUAGGAUGUGCUAAUCAUUUUAAUUAAACAUUGACGAGGAAGAUGCUCUUGAAGAGAGAUGGGGAGAAGCCCACAUAAACAGCAACAUCUCACCAUAAAUUGUGAUUGAAAAUGCAUUUCAGAAUUUAUUUUGACAAUUUAGGAAUAAAUAAAUAAAAUUCCAUUUGAAUGAAGUGCAAGAUCAUUUCACCUAAAUAAUUCAAUCCUGAUUGAGAAGAGAUUUAUUUUUGAUGCUCACAAAAUUUGAAAGGUAGAACAUGAAUUCUUAAAAUUAUGUUGAAAUUCUUGAAGGUGCUUUGGUAUAUGUGGAAUGCCAUACUGGUGGGAAGUGGAGCAAAACAACUUCUUCACAAGCCAUGACAGACGAAUAUGGAGAUUUCCUAAUUGAUCUACCUUCCCACCUCCAUGGAAUUCCGAACCUGGAAAGAACAUGUUCAGUUAAGGUUCUAAGAUUGCCACAGAACUCGGUAUGCAGACCAGCUCAUGCCAGGAAACAGAAGGCACUGGAAUUAUCAUCAGUUGGGAAUGGCAUCCGUAAUUACAGUGCCGGGGAGAUCAAAUUUCUUCAAGUAACAUCUAAACCUUUACAAGCAUGCACCCAGAGAGGAAGCAGCGAUAAGCAGAUUGCGUACUAGAUAACAGGUUUAUAAGAAGACUGGAAUACAAGAACAAGGCUCACUUAGAUGGCGCUUUAGUCACAGCAUUGAGUAACAAGGUUCAAUUCCUUUCUACCAGUCGUAAAAUACAUGAGUGGCAACUAUAUAGCAUGUAGAUAAAUAAUGAUAUCUUUUAAUAUAGCAAGCUUGCAGUGUUUGUAAUUGUAGAAACAAGAUUGUAUAAUAGGAAUUUUCCCUGGCUGCGAUGAAAAAGUAUGAUAUAAACGGUUUGGAAAACAUUAUAUGUAGUUAUUGAUUCACAAAAAUGAACAAGCAUGAAAAACAGACAAGACAAUUGUCCAAGAGCACCCUUUCACCUUUGGGAAAUCCUAAAAUUGACUACUACUCAGGAUUUACAAUUUUCUGUUCACCUCCAGAAACUAUAUAUUUCGCAACAUCAGCGCAACAGGUAAGUUUAUCUGCUUUAUCCUCCGGGAUUUCAAAGGAAAAUUCUUCCUCAAAAGCCAUGACGAGCUCAACCCUGUCUAAACUAUCCAGGGACAAAUCUUUUUGGAAAUCAGCUGCUGCAGUAACCUGUUUCAGAGGUCAAAUGAAAUCAACAUUACUCUUUUGACCUAUGUGCAACGGACAAAGUGAUUGUUUGUUGAAAUUAAGUAAAAAGCCUCUUUGUUUUGACAUAAAGUGUCACCUAACAAUCAGGUUAAUAGUACAUGUAAAUUUAAUCAAAUGAAGAGUAAAGGUCAGACGUCCAUUUGAAAAGAAUCAUAAAAUGGACAGGAAACAGGAAAAAACAAAGAAAAUUACAAGGGAGCCGUCAAUUAGUUACCUUAUUGGCAUCGAUUUUAUCAAACUUCUUAACCAGUUCAAUGACUCGAUCCAUGAUUCGAUCAGGGCUGUUUCCUGCUGAUGUACACAUCUGCCAACGAAGUUGCUUGAACACAUUUCCCCUCUGAGCAAACAGCAAUUGUUCUGCAGAACCCCUCAGCCCCAUGUGGCUCAAGAUGGAGUUUCUUACGCUUUGCAUUUUUAGACAAGCUGGAAAUCAACAUAAGUCACUCAAAUCAGAAUGUGCAAAUCAAAUCACAUAAAAGCAGUGCCAAGACAGCACGUAUGCAUGAUUGACAGCUGAACCAUAAUCAAAAUUCAAGAACACACUUGUAUAACCAAUAGGGAAGCAUUACAUCAACAAACCAGAAUUGCAGGUAGCGUCCUGGCUAGCAGGAGCUAAUUUUAAUCAAUAAAAUGUAAACCAGGAACAUUUCUAGAGUGAAAAGAAAGCACUAAGGCCUGAAUGUACAAACAAAUACAAGCAUCCACAAUUCAAAAGAAACCCCAGAAAUGUUUUAAAAAUUUUACUGCUUACUUCUCAUAAUUCAUCAUCUUGCACUACUAGCCAGAUUAAAGAAAUCAAGUAUCUAUAAAACACACAAUUUUUACAAAAGGGAAGUCUACCUUGGCAUUGUGGCUAAAAACUGAACAGGAAAAGACCCUCAAGAGCAAAAUCUGUCAAAUCAUUCAAAGUUUACAGCUUUCAGAAAAAAGACAUUAUUCAUAGUUAAAUGCAUGAUAUCACAUUCAAAAUUGACAAGGAAACCACAGUGGAAAGUAACACAAGAACCAAUCUCAUGCAAACAUGAUUCCUACAUAUAUUAAUUCACACGCUUUCCAGGCCCUUUUCUUUUUUCAAAUCUAAUGUUUAAAAACACUAACGUCAAAGCAACAAAUUCUGACAGAAAAAGCUAUCAACUGCUUACUCACGAGAUUUUGUGUCUGUGGGUAUUGACUUUCGAGUUAAAAGAAUAGUCGUUCAGGUGUUUGAUUUAUUGCCGCAGUGAAGUCUCCCUGUUGAAUGAAAGGAAGAGUCUUGUCAAUUUUAAGCUCGGUCUCAUGGGCGGUCCUUGUAUGAUGUGGAUGGAGAUUGGAGAGUGCUAAAUGGGGGUGAAGCAAACGAUGUCGUUGUGCUAAUAUAUUGGUUUUUGCUGCUUUUCAAUGGUUUUAUGGGUAAUAUUUCCGUUUUCAUGGAUCGAAACUAAGCCCAUCUCUUGAAUCCAUUUGUUAUUAAACCUCGAACAAGGAUAGAUGUUGUCUAGGCUUAGGGUUGCGAGUUAAAUAAUUUAAUUUCAAUUUAAAAAUAUUAUUUUGUCCAAAAAAAGAAGAAGCAAAUGAAUAUUAUUUGGUUGAAGAUAAAUUCAUAUAUUUCCAUACUUUAUUCUUUUAGGUUACAUUACCCUCAUAUUAAAUUAUAUUUUGUCUUUGAUAAAUAAAACUUCUAGUUUUUUUUAUUGAUCUACCUUUUUUUAUUUUACAAUUGAAUAAAAUUUCAACUUUACUUUCAUUUUUAGCUGUAUCAAUUUGAUUAUGUAUCUUUAAAAUUUUAUUUAAUUUACAUUUACCUUUUUUAUGACUGGACUAACGUAGGGAGUUGAUUUAUUAUCCAUGCCAUCAUCUAAAGUUAAAUAUAAAAAGAAGGGAAAAAAAAGAAGAAUUAUUAUGAUAAAACACUUUAUCUAAAAUUAGAUGGAAAAUAAUUUAGUUUAAGUACUCGAAAUUUAACUACUAAAUUAGGUGUUUUUCAAAAAAUCCCAUCUCUUGAUUCUCUUCCCUUCUCUCUAUAAAUCUCAACAUGGAAUAACUAUAAUUUUAAAAUUCAUUGAUUCAUGACCAGAUUUGAGUUAAGGAUGAAGAUGAUUAACUUAAUUUUUUUUAAUGAUUAAAAUAAUAUUAUUUUAAAUUUUUAAAAUAAAAAAAUUAAAUAAUAUUAAAUUAAUCCAGAUUUUUAACUGAAUUGAAUUAUAUCAUUUUUUUUUAUUUUUUCUUCUAUCUAAACUGGUUUAAAUCCUAUAUUAACUAUAUUUUGGAUUAAUUUACCGAGCUAGUAUAAGUUUUAUACAUAGGAACAUAAUAACUUCAUAAUUUACCCCAAAAAAAGAAUCUUAUAUCAACAUCCAAAAAUCUCUCUCAAAAAAAAAAAAUAGUAAAUUCUAUUUAAAGAAAAUAAAGAGAGCAAUAAUUUAAAGGAAAAAGACUUUGUCAAAUAAUGACGUGCCCAUCAUCGCAUACACACUCAAGAAAAACAACAACAUUAGAUUCGAUACAUUCACAUCACCCAUUUGCCCCACCACCACCACCAUUUCCACCUCUUCCUUCCACCACCACCACCACUCCCUCCUUUUACUUCAACCCAUUUUCCCAAUUUACUGGAGAUCACUCUCCUUUUAUCCUUUCCAAAAUUUCCCUUCCUUCCUUCCUCUCCUUUUUCCCCCCAAAAAAGCAUACUCCUUAGUUACUUGACACAAAAAUAACAAAGUUAUAAACUUUAUUCAAUUUUGGCAUCUGGGUCUAUCCCAAAAUUGCUUCCUUUUGGAUUGUUCUUAAUUUAAUUCAUGUAUAUAGUUGGUGGGUUUUAAUAAAGUUUCAAUUUUCAUUCAAUCCAAUCUGAAAUAAACAACAGCUAAAACAUUAAUAAAGAUCAUUAAUUUGUAAGUGAGUUGAAGUUAUUAAUAAAUGGGGAAUGUGAAUGGAAGAGAAGAAGAAGGAGCAAUCAGUCCAUCAAGUGGUUGUGGUGGUGAAGGAGAAAGCCAUAACAGCAGUGAGGUUAUGGUUGCAUCAGAUGAGUCCCAUGUUACAUAUCCUGCACCUCCUCCUGAAAUGAUGGGUCACUCACCUCCGCAUAGCCCAAGAGCUACUCACUCACCUCUUAUGUUCACUCCUCAGGUUUGUUUUUUACGGCCUUUCUGUUUCUGUUUUCGGUUGCUGUUGUUUGUUAUUCUCUCGAAGGUUUUAUGUAGGAGUCAACUAAAUUGUGUAGAAUUGGUGUGUUUUGGAAUGUGGUUCUGGCUUCGAAGGAUGCAAAUUUUUUGAGAGUUUGAUCGGUUUUGGUAGUUUUUGAAGAUUUUUUAGAUGAUACUGGAUUGGUAUCACAUUAUCUUUGUUGUGGGAUUCUUUUAGAUGCUGGAGAAUUUGAUACUUGCUUAGAAAGUCUUGACUUGGCUGUAUUUGUGUGGGAAUCAGCGGAAGGGAAUUGCUUUACCUACUUUGAAUGUGUUAAAAGAUGUGUAUAGCAUUAGCCAUCGGGUUCUUUCCUAUGAGAUUCUACUUGGGAGUGGACAUGUUAGUGGGUUCUAAUAUGGUGGCAAGUAGCUUGUGCUGUCAAUGCGGAACAAAGUAUGUCUUUUGUUUUGAUGUAAAUAGGGAGCGAACUGUUAGUUUCAAUCUGACAAGAUCAAGGGUUGUCAUGAACUGAACUUUGUUGGAUCCUGGUGAUAUUCAUUGCUUGGAAGUCAUUUUAAUAUUUUGUGCUAUGUUCAUGUAACAUGCUUUGCUUCAUGCCCUAGAAAAUAUUUUCGUUAAGCUGAGUCAUGUGCUUUUUUUUCUUUUUUUCUAUUCUGGUGUGUGCUUCCAUCUACAACCCUAUUUGAUAUCUUUUCAUUGCAUGUUUUUCUUUGUCAGCUCCCGGUGGUUCCGUUGCAAAGACCUGAUGAGAUUCAAGUUCCAAGUCACUCAUGGAUGCAAAAUUCUUUAGGGUAUGAAGAAAUGUGUAACGAGCAAGGAAUUCCAACAAUGAUUACAUGGACUUAUGGUGGCAAGGAAGUAGCUGUUGAGGGAUCAUGGGAUGACUGGAAAACAAGGUUGAAAUUCAAUGCUUUAGAUUUUCCCCAUCUGUUUUAUAACAACUUCAGGAUCCACUUUCUGACUGUCUAAUAUAUCCCAUUUACAUUGUUGAUCAGAAUGCCUUUGCAAAGAUCAGGAAAAGACUACACUAUAAUGAAAGUUCUGCCAUCAGGUGUUUAUCAAUACAGGUUUAUUGUUGAUGGACAAUGGAGGUAUGCCCCUGACUUGCCCUGGGCCAAAGAUGAUUCUGGCAAUGCUUACAAUACUUUGGAUUUGCAGGUAAUCCUUUCAUCCCGUCCCUUUGGUAUUGCAGCAUAAUUUCUUAAUAAUUCCAAUAAAUUAAGGGGAUGCUGGUAAAAAUUUUCCUUGUUAAUUAAUCAAUUGUAUCUGUAUGGACACCUUCGCUCCUUUUUUCCUUUUCUUAUCUGAUAAUUAGUGCAGAGUUGGUCUCAAAAAGUCAAAAUUUUCUUUUUCACUAAGACAGUGAUACCAUCUGCAAUUAAAGGUCCAAAAAUGUUGUAUCUACCACUUAAAAUGUAAGAAGAAAGAAUUUGACUUCAGAUAUUUAUCCCCAUCUUUAGAGCUGCUACAUUUUUUGGUUUAUUUGUUUGCUUGGGAUAGAGGUAUAAAAGCAUGCAGGUAAAGUAUGUAUAUGAAUUUAUGGGUCUCAAACUAACAUAUUUCUGAGCGUGCAACCAUUUCUGAGACUCAAGUGAAAGGUUUAUAUGAAGAUUCCCCUUGACAUAUUCACAUGAAGCAGACUUGCUUUCAUUCUAUUUCUUUAGGAUAAGAUUGAUUUAAAUGUAAUCCUGUAGUCAUUUAAGCUAGUAAAUCUGCAUGAAGAUCAAAACCGAGAAUAAAACAAAUAAAAUAUAAUUAGGUUUCCAAUAGUUUGCGGGUUGUGUUUCAAACAUUAGAUACCUUACUUAAUAUUGCCACCCUUUUUUGACCUCGUGCUUUUUAUGUGCUUCCAGCAUAUGCUCUCUUGGUGUCAUUGUGAAUGCACAAGGUGAAACUAUCUUUAACGUAAUUUUGGGUAAUUUCACUGAAGAAACGAAGCAGUUUAUUCUAAUAAUUGGGUGGGUGGUAUAGUGUCAUUGCAACACUUGCCUACUUUCAGUUCUCUUGGUGUUAUCAUGAAUGCAUAAGGUGAAACCAUCUUUAACUUAAUUUUGGGUUAUCUUCCUGUGUUGCUGCCUCCAUAAAGUCAGUUUUAUUUGUGCCUAUUUUUGAGAGCUUCAUAAAUGACAGAAAAAUAAGGAUAGUAUUUAGUUAAAACUUAAACAACAUUUGGAGCUUCCCAAAAUUGUAGUAGUACAGAUUAUACUCGUAGUUUCAGUUCUCCUUCACUGAAGAAAGGAAUAAGUUUAUUCUCAUAAAAGGUGGUAUAUGUGAUUGCUGUUCAUGCCUACAUGUAGGUUUAAUGAUCUGUUCUUCAAAACAGUGUACGUUGUGUUUGUAAUAUUUUACUAGGAUAUUCUGAAUCGUGGCUUCCUUUCUUUGGAGAUGCAUGAUUAAGUAAAAGAAAGAAACCAGCAUGUGCAGUGGUGAUUGCUUGAACAGCUGUUUACAAAAAAAAUUGUUUUUAAAGUCUUUACAUAAGUCAAAGCUAAAGUGUUUUUUCUUUCUUUUUGUCCUGCUAACAUUAUGAUUUGGUUAAGCAUGUUCUGCGUUGAUUUUAACACACAUGCUUGUAUGCAUGCACACACAUAUUUACGCAAGAGAUUUUUCUCUAAUGUGUAGUUAUAUGUUAUUAAGCAUAAUUUCUGAUCUGACUGUUGAAUCGGGUUGAAAUUUCACUUGUAGAUUCUAGAGGCGUUGUUUUAUAUAGGGUUAAAAUUUUACAGCAAUCGGAAAUUGAAAAGGUCUUCUAUUAAUGCCUAUAAGUUACCAUUCAAAAUUUCCUAUAUUUUCCUAGUUGUUUUAUGAUUUUUUUUUCUAUUUUGUUUAGAACUCUUUUAUUAUUUUCUUAAAAAAAUUUAAAUAGAAAUUUUUUCCUAGUUUGUUUAGGACUUUUAUUACUUUUCCUUUAUUUUCCUGUUUUCUUGUUAGUUUAGGUAAGUUUUUAAGUUUAUUUAAAGAGUUGUAAAUCUCAUAGAAAGACAAACUACUUGAAGAGAAAAUAUCUAGUAAUAAAAUUUUGAAUAAGAGUUUAUGUGUGAUCCCUAUUCAAUAUAAUUUUAUGUUCUUGUGCUUGCUGUUUUUCUUGUGUUGCUUCCGUUUGUGUUGGUAUUAGAGCCCAACGAUCUAGGUUAUUGUUUGUUGUGUGCUACAAUCUCAAGUUAUUUUGUUUGAUGUGUGCUAUUAAAUAACCAUGGUUGGAAGAGAUUACAGUGCAAAAUGUGUUCAAGUUAAGUGGGGAAGAGGAGUUUCUUCCUUAAGAGAGAAAGGUUCAGGAGCUGGUGAUAUAAUAAGACAUGCAAAGACAUUAUAGAAUUGAAAAAAGGUGUUAAGGAACUGGUGAUAGAAAACAUGCGAAGACAAAUUGCAAAAUUAACCCGUCAAUUAACGGAGUUGAGGAGUCCGGGGGAUUGUGAGAGGAGAGAUCACAUGUCCAUGACUAGUUUUGAAAACCCAUUUCAGAAACAUGAGCGAAUGAGACAUCUUCUUGAUUGGGAUGAAUAUUGUGAACGUUUUGGUGAUCCCGUUUAUGGUGAGAUAAAUAUGAAUUGAUAUUCUCAAUCAAUUUAUGAUGUUUAUUUUGAUGAUGAUAAUGUUAAUGAUGAUAUCAUAAAUAAUAACUAUAAUGGUAGUGAUGUCGUUGAUGGUGCCCUUGUUGAUAAGUUAGAAGUUGAGUGCAAAGAAAACAUGAAAGGUGUUCAAUAAAAGAAAUUUAUUGAUUCAAACUAUGUUGAUCUUUUUUAUUACAAGUUUGUUGUUAUUAUAAAGAUAGAUAUAUUCAAGGGUUAUAUGGAUACAACACAUGUUCAUGAAGUAAGUUUGAGGUUUGUAAUUUAUUACUCUAGAAGCAAAUGGAAGAGAAAUAAUUUGUCAAUUGUUGUUUCUUUUAUAAAUUUUAAGAUGACGAGAUUGAAGUUAAUGUCUAAAAUUAUUAUAUACUUGAAGAAGAAAGAAAAAGGGUUGGAGAUUCUUGACUGGAUAUCCAUGAGAUCGAGGCAAGAGCAAUUUGAACUUGAGGACGAGUUCUUUUCAACCUAGAGAGACUGAUGCAUAAGAUUUUUUUUCUAAUGUGUAGUUUUAUGUUAUUAAGCAUAAUUUUUUAUCGAUUGUUGAAUCGAGCAAAAAAUUUACUAGGAGAUUCUAGAUGUUUUGUUUCAUAUAGAGUUGAAAUUUCAUAGCAAUCGGAAAUUGAGGUCUUUCACUCAUGCCUAGAAGUUAUUGUUCGAGAUUUGCUAUAUUUUUAAAGUUGGUUUAAGAUUUUUUUUUUCUAUUUAGUUUAAAAUUCUUUUAUUAUUUUUCUAGAUUUAUUUAUGAUGUUUUUCUAGUUUGUUUAGGACUUUUAUUAAUUUUCCGACUUUUAUUAAUUUUCCUUUAUUUUUGGGUUUCCUUAUCAAUUUAUAUAAGUUUUAAAGUUUAUUUAGGGAGUCCAAACCUUUUAGAGAGGCAAACUACUUGAAGAGAUAAUAUCUAGUAAUAAAAUUUUAAAUUAGGAUUUCUGUUUGAUCCUUAUUCAGUAUAAUUUUGUGUUGUUGUGCUUGCCAUCUUUCUUGCAUUGCUUCCUUCUAAGUCACGCAUAUUAAUUUUUCUAUUUUAUUUUAUCAACUUCAAGAAGCAUAGCUCUCUUAUCAUGGUAUUCUUGUAAAGUGUCAUAUGAACAUAGUUCCAUUACUAAGAGUAUGCAGGAAAAUAUAGAUAGCUACUUGGUUAUGGGUAUUUUCUGAUAGCUUUUGGUAUUGUCGAUUUGAUGUUUUGGUCAGGACUUUGUUCCAGAAGACCUUGAAAGUAUAUCUGGUUUUGAACCCCCUCAUUCUCCAGAGUCAAGCUACAGCAACUUGCAACUUAGUAACGAGGAUUUUGCGAAGGAGCCACCAAUGGUUCCUCCGCACUUACAAAUGACACUGCUCAAUGUGCCAUCAUCCUGCAUGGAGAUACCGCCUCCUUUGUCAAGACCUCAACAUGUCGUGCUUAAUCAUCUCUACAUGCAGAAGGGAAAGAGUGGGCCUGCUGUGGUGGCACUUGGUUCAACACACAGGUUCUUAGCCAAGUAUGUGACUGUGGUGCUUUACAAGUCUUUGCAGAGGUAAUAAUUUACUGCAUCUGUGUGGGAGUUGUAGUUUACCAUCCUUAAAAUGUAGUUAAGAUAUGCCAAUGGCUCAAGUAAGCUCAGGAAGGAGUCACUUCAAGCAUUAAAAAGAUUGUAUUUUACAAAAUACAAAUGCUUGAUAACCAUUGUUAGUCAAUUUAGCUGCUUGUUUUUAUCACAUUAUGUAGUUGUUCUCUGCUAUCAUAUGGGGAAAAAGAAGAGCUAAUAACUCUCUUGCGUAGGUUCAUCUAAUGCUUUCACCACAUUAUCGCAGUCUUCGAUUGAUUUAAGUGGAUUGGGAACUUCCUUAAACUGGCCUUGUUCUCCUCUCCUUUUUUCCGAGAAGAAACUGGCUAGACACUUAAAAUCUUGGUGCGGUUGUAUUUUUUUAUUUAUUUAUUUAUCUAGCAGAAGAGACUCUCUUGAUUGCCCAAUCGUGGGAGAUUUGUCUUGAAUUUCUUCCACAUGUUCAUAUCUUGGAAGUCUGGCAUGAUUUGCAUAUAGAUCCCAUACAAAUGCAUGUGUUGAAGUCUAGCCAUUAUGCAUGGACUGCAAAUCGAAUGCCCAAUAGAUCUCAGUCCUUUUCACACAAAUUUCUAUAAGCUUCAAUAGUUCAAUUGCAAAAACGAGAAAGUAUUCUUGAAAUGCAUGCAUGUGUUUGGUUUUCAAGGCUAACACAAAGUAAAACUACUAGAGCAACACAUUCCCCUGACCCUGAUGCCAAGACAAACCAUUUCAUAAUUUAAGAUAAAUGGAUGCCUCAUCUUCUUAUGUUUGCUAGCAAAAUCCAAGGAUAGAGCUUCAUCGAACAUGUUAUAUAUGCCCAUGAGACUGGUUUGGUGGAGGUUUUAAAUAAUAUUGGAUCUUUCAUAAUUUAAAUGAUGUAUCUCUAUCAUUUGUUUAUCACUCAAUGAAUGAUCGAAAAAUAAUCUACUGAUUUAAUUAGAGUUUUGUUAUAGCAAAACAAACUAAAGCGGAAGGGUUUGUUUAAACAGUGACAAAUACUGUUUGUUUGUAUACUCAUAUUGUAUUGUGAAUUGGAGCAGUAUUAUUUUUAUUUUUUUAUUUUAGUUCUUUAACUCUUUUUUUUUAUUGUGUCCUUUAAUUGCAAGAUUAGCACAGAGGGACAAAAUUGAAAGAUAGAGGAUCAACUUAGAAAAAGUUUAGAGUUGGUGUAUAAAAUACACUUUAAUCCCCCAAUUUAUAAACUUAGACUACUCCCUUAUGUUUUUCUAAAUUCAAUUUUGGUACAUAACUUCAUUUUUAUUAUGUUUAAGUCCCUUGUUUUUUAAGGAGAGAAAUUUUUCUCGAAUUCCAACAUAGAGAGAGAGAGUUAUUGUUUUCACACAUUUUGGUCACCAAAUUAGUUGAUAUUGGUGUCCAAGGGUUUCAUUUGAUGAAAGAAGUUGGAUGAUGGCCGUUUCAAACCUUAAUAUUAUCUAAAAAGUAUAUCAAAAUCAAGGAAGAAAAAUCUAACCUAGUUUGAUUUCAUGUUUUAAUGUUGAUUUUGGAGUUUCUAAGGUUGAUAAAUUGAUUUUUAGGUGUUGUGAUGAUGUUUACGAGGAGUGUUUUUUGGUUAAAAUGGAUUUUUAAAAAGGGGGAUUUUUUAGCAAUAAUAUCUCUGCCUGAUUUUCUAGCCAUCAUUAUGGUAACUAGAUUCCAGACAUACAUGCGACACAUCGUCUAUUUUAGCAAGCGACGUGUUGCCUGAUUUAUUUUUUUAAAUAAAAGGGGUGACCCCUUUAAAUAUUAAAAAAAAUAUAAGGCCCAGACACGCAAGCCUAAGCCAUUAAGCCCAAACACUUAGGCUUUUUUAUAUAGGCUCAAAUGCGCUAAGUUGUUAGGCCUGUGCCCCUGGCCUUUUUUGUGAGGGUUUUUUUUUGCAAUUCUAUUUAUUCUUUAUUUAGAUCAAACAUAAAUUUAAUAAAAUAAAUCAUUAAACCUGGAUGAGUCCUUAGCACAAAUUGAUGAUUUGACAAGUUAUGACACAAUAUUUUGACUGUUGUUCUAAUUUUUUUUUGUUAAUUAAAAUUGACUAAGAUCAAGAUAUAUUUUUAUAGUUUUAACUUAAAUUUAUUUUAUAACUCAUUUAUUUAUUUAUUUAUAAAUUUAAUUUAAUUUGUAGUCAAUAAAGACAGUCUAACCGAGAAGAGAAUAAGCGGAGGAAACAGAAAUACCAAUUAUUCAAUUGACUUAACUGAUUAUGGUAAUGUCCAUUACUCGGGUUGUAAUGUUUGCAUGUUAACUCGGGAUAUAAUUUGUCAUUGUCUUUUCAUUUCACUCCCUCAGUUUUUUUUCUUGAUUUAAUCUUUUGAUACUUCUUUAUUUUCACAUUUAAGCUAGGGCUUGGUAGGAUUAAAAUGACGGAAGUGUUUUAUUUUAAUUAGAUCACCAUUUGAGGGAGACAACUAGUUUGUUCUUUGCCUGUUUUGUCGAACAAGUCACACCAAUUUUUAUUUUUUAAUAUUUAUGAUGAUCAAUUAAUUUAUUCUGAUAGAUUAAUCCAUUUUUAAAUCAUUAUUUCAAAUAUUCAUUACAUGUAAGUUAUUUAAAUUUUUUAUUGCAGUCAUAUGGUUUUUAUCCGUCCCGCAACGAAUCUCAGUAACAAAACCUAGUUUUAUCUAAUAAACAAACUAAAACAUUCAAAAUAUUAGUGUGUGUGUGUGUGUGAACAUUUUGCUAGCGUUCACAGGGUACAACAAGUUCUCUCAAAAUAUAAACAAACAAGAAAAGGUUAAUCAUCAUGUCAUGAGCUUAAUACUAACCACCUAACCUAGAAAUGGCCAAGGAUGAAUCAGACCGUUAAUACUACUACUGUGAUCCCUGGAUGAGCUGAAUAAGUAGAUCAUCUCUCUUAAAUUCUGACAUGAACUAUUGACUAUUGAGAUGGUUGGUAAUUAAUAAUUGGCAGUUCAGCUUUAAAAGAACACCUCAAACUAAAAUCGAUCAUGGUACAUUACAUUAUUUCUGACACGAUAUCAUACAUAGUACAUUACACUUAUAGCACAGAAGAAAUGACAACAAAAGUACCUUUUCUUUCUUCCUUUUCUGUAUUCUAACGUUAGCAUCAUCCAGAAAUGGACAAACCACAAGUGCAAAACUAACAUGUCCGAAUUCGUCGAGCUUUCACUCCUUUUGUUGAUAAGGAAGUUGGUUAUGCAUUUUAAGCUUUUUUGUUAAGAACCAAUGCUUGCUGUCUCUUUGAUAGGCCAAUGAAACAAAGAAAAGAAGGCCUAUUGAAAGAGACUCUAGGGCUAUAACCCCAAGAGAUUAACUAACCAAGCUUAAGUUUCUUGUUUUUGAUCCUUCACUGUGGCUGACAUUCCCUUGGAACAGAUAAAAAAUGAGUGUGUUGGUCUUGUAAGCAUUUAUCAUCAACAAUUACACACUUUGUAUCAGUAUAAAGUUUAGCUGUACCGAGAUUAGAGCAAGAGGGAUAACUUAUAUCGCUUGUAUCAGUAUCUGAUAAGUAGAUUAAAGAUGGACAUACAUGAUGAUUAGCCCUUUAGACCUGUUUCGAGAACUGAAAAUCAAGCUCAUGAUAUUACAUGUAUUCAUUAUCUGCAAUUUCUUUUCUUGAAGGCACAAAGCAUAUGAACUUGUGUUAAUGUUGCAGGCUAAGAGAGCUUCACACAUUGAAGGGCCAUGUUGAGUCGGUGGUUAAGAUGAAGGGGCUUGAUAUUGAGACCAUCCAACAACACUACAGUCUAAAGAUAUUAAAGGGUUUCCAAUUAGAAUCAUAUGUAAGUAAGAUAGAGACAGAGUUGAGAGAAAACAGACAGAACAAAGAAGCUGACUUGAAGCUGCUUUUUCUGUUUUGUAAACAUUUUUUUUUUGGCUUAAAUAGGAAUGUCCAAAAGGAUGAAAUCUUAUAGUUGUUUAUUUACAUGUUUAUAGCUUCUGCCUGUUGAUUGUAAAUUUUUCCUCAUUCCAGUAAUCAAAAUAAGGUUAAUCCAUGGUAUUAAUCAAAUUUUGUCAAUUGUAUAGAAUAUUUUUCUUAUUGUCUAUGCCAAUGUGGUUAGCAAUUUUCAAUAUAAAGAUUGCACGAGGCAUCUCUGCUACAUAAAAUAUGCAAUAAACAUCUCACACCAAAGUUCCCAAACGAUAACAGAACCAUUAUGGUUGGAGCUUUGUAGGGAUUGCUAUGAAUUCAUUGCCAAGUUGUUGAAAAAGAGUUACUGUCGCCAGCUAAAUGCUAAGAACGGCAAAUUUUUACUAAGGAAAGAAGCAUGUACAAGCAUGCAAAAUGAAAAUCGAUACCUAAAAGUUCUCUAUCACUGUUUCCAAUUUCUUCUCCAUCUCUUAAAACUACACUAAACCAGCUUUGGCUUUAACUAUAAUGGCUGCAUAACUAUUCAAAAGACAGGGCAUCCCUUAACCACAAUUCCUGGCGCUGUUGGACAUGUAGCCAAAGGACAGUGAUCAAGUUCUGCACCCCACCAACUCAAUUUUUUGUCUGUGUUCUGCACAGCAAAGAACAAUAGAACACCCAUGAAAGCUGUCCCAGCAUCCAAUGCCGCAGACAGAACAUAAUUAUACUUCUGCCACCAGCGCUUGCGAUAUCGGAAGACAAAGUAGUUGAAGAUAGUUCCAGUGAUAAGCCAGCUUGCAAUGUUGGUGGGAGUAGCGGGUGGCAUUCCGGCAAAACCAUAAGAUAUAACUGGAAUGUUUAUCAAUGCAAUCCAUUUCUUUUCAGGGAACAUUUUGCUCAGUACCCAAAAAGGCACUGGCAAGAAAGCUCCAAUGAGGAACAGCCAUACCAAGUUCCUGUAGAGGCCACCAGGUCCGAAGAGCCUUUUUGGUCCAAUGAGGCCCCAGAUUACAGAAGCAUCGAAAGUAACUCGGUACUUAGGACAGGUCCAAGGACUGUUGGAAUCUUGCGAAUCAACAUCACAGAUAUUUUCAAUGUUCUCCAACAUCCACCACGCAACUGCAAGAUUGACUGUACCGGCAACUAAAGUUCCCACAAGCUGAGGAAAACACAAAUUCUUUUUUUAAUAAUCCACACAAACAGGAAAAAAAAAAAUUUCAAAUGCACAACUGCACAAGUUUCUGUAUUACGUACAAUACCUGAGCUACAUACAUGCACCGUGGUGGAAUUUUCAUGUAGUGUCCAAGUUUAAGGUCAGAUAAGAAAGAAAGAGCAUGGACCGUGCUGAUUCGUCCAUAAAUCUUGAAAAGCAGGUUUGCAAUUGGUUGUCCUGGUAGGACAUAUCCAAUCAUGAACUGUGCUAUUAUGUCGUAGCCAGGUUGCUGCAAUGCAAACACAACAUUAUGAGGUCAAAAGAAAAAACUUCACAUUGAAUUUGCCUACACAUCGAAAGCAAAGUUUGCUGUGUCUAACAGGCAGAGAAGAAAAACAGAAAAUUAAUAAAAUUGGCGAUACCUGGUUGGUAGUUGCUUGAAUAACCCCAAUAGGAAGGGUAACAAGCCAAGCCAAGCCAAAGGCAAAGAGCAUACCCCACCAUGGCAGCUGCACAGUUUCUUUCCAAACAAAAGACAUUAACAAUGAGAGGAAAACACUCCCUGCUAACAGAAUAUAGAACCACCAGUCGGGAACUUCUUUGUAAGCUUUCAUCAAUUUUGCAUGAACAUCCAAUUUCACAUUCUGCAUUGCUUUCCUACUUUGCUUCCAAAUAUCCCUGGACAAUGGAAACCACAUAAUGCCAUUUAUUAAGAUCCAGUAAAAAGGGCAUCUACAUUUAUAUUAUCAGCGUGUGGAAGUCCAUGAUAGGAACCAGGCUACCUUCCAUUAAACAGUGCCACAUGGGUGAGAGUUGCCGUGAACCUUGCAAAUCCUGAUCCAAUCGACAGGGCAAAUAGAGGACUAAGAUAAAGCUUGCUGUAGCUAUCAUAAGCAGGAAUGUUAAGUUGAAAUUCUGGGGUCAGGAUCUUUGUAGUAUCAUAUUUUUGCCCGCUAGAAGUGAACAGCUGAUUAGAAAAUAUUGGAAACUUCCGAGCAUCAAAAGUGUUAUACUUCCAAUAACACACAGGGACUAUAACGUAGAUGAACAUAAUAAAGCCAACCGCAACAUUGACAAUGGAAGACCAAGGAGCAACAAGGGGGCUGCCAUGGUAGGCCGAAAUCCCAGCCCAAUCAAGAGUGAAGGCACCAACACCAAGGCCAUGGUAUCCUGACCCUAUUUGUUGAGCUGUCAUGUUGUGAGGCCAUGCCCAGCAGACCCACGAGAAGAAUGUCAAGAUUGGGAACAAGUAACCAGGGACUGCGUAAUAGAAAAAGCUUGCUGUCAUGGCAAUGAGGAAGAAUCGCAUCCUAGUCAUGCCUUUACUUUUCGGCUCCUUUUCAUGCAGUGCUCUGUAGAGACAAAAUGGUUAGCAUAUGACAACAUUAUUUCCAAAAACUAAGUGCAAGCUAAUCAAAUAUGGAAGUUCUAGCUUCACCAAUGACUUGAGGAAUAUGAUCCCAAGCAAACUCAUGACAACCACUACAAAUUAAGAAGGAAUUUCACCCAUAAGUCAUGAUUUUACCCAUAAGUCAUGACAACCAGCACAAACCAAGUUCAAUGUUUAUAGUAUUACGCACUCUGUCCCCUGUGGAAUAUCACCCAUAAGUCAAGGAAAGCUACAAAACAGAUUCUUAACCAGUGAACUUGCACUUGUAAUCAUAUACCAACAAGAUAAAGUUAUUCAACUAGAAUUAUUGUCAUGUUCAACUCUAUUAUGAAAAAAAAAGAAGUAAAUUGCUCGAGUUAAUUUCACUCCACACAUUACACCAUGGAGAGAAUUCUGCAAUGUCCUUUUUCAGCCUCUGUUUGUUUAUUUCUAGAAAUAUUCUCACAUGCGUUUUCAGUGAUGAAAUUUGAAUCACAAAACAGUCUUUGAGUCAUAUUUGUCAAACUCGACUAAAGAAUUGGGUUAUCAGAUCAACAGGUCAUCAAGUUAAUCCGUGAGUUAUCAGGUCAUUUAUUUUAUUAAAAUCACAUAGUUUCGUUUUUUUUUUAAAAAAAAAUUCUUGAAGCUGACACAGCUAUGUUUGUCCAAGCCAAUCAAGUCACUACGAACUCAGAAGUAAACCCAGAAGUAAAAACUGAAGAGACUCGAUUAAAAUAUGGGAUUCCAAUAUUCUUUUCAUCAACCAAACAGAUCAUUUAGAAAAAUUGAAGGGAAAGUAGAGGCCUAGUAGUAGAAAACACAGACCUGAACAGAGAAACCUGAGCAAGAUUGGAAGGCCACCACAUCUCUACAGGAUAAACCAGGUAUCUCCUUAGCAUCCCAGCCCAUCCAUAUCCCAAUAUCUGGAAAUCAAGACCCAGAAACAAAGGAGAAAAAGGAAAUCAAAACAACCAAACACACUGUUUCACUUCCUUAAAAAACAGUACUGUUUAGCCAAAAAGAAGAAAGAAGAAAUAUUUCAUCUUCACCUGAGUAGUCAAGACUAUGAGCAGCCCACAAAGAAAACUCAAACUCUGCCUAUAGUAAGCCUUCAUAACAGUAAUGGCACCAAUAGAAUAAGCAUCACCACCACCAUAAGAGACACCACAGUUCGCAAAAAUAGUGAUAAUCACAUGUUCUUUCAUAUUAAAAGGCCCUGGAUUCAAACUAAAACUCCACCCCAAAAUCCUAUAAUCUUUCGUAGGCAAAGUCUUAGCCAUGAACUUGCCAACAGGCAACACAGCAAUUUGCAUAAGAAUGGCAGAGAUAGUAAGUGGCUGUGUACGGUAAGUGAAAAAAGUGUUCAAGAAGAUAAGUAUUACGCAUGAAGUUAAACCCAGAAACCAUGCACGAAAAGUCAAGACAGGAAGUGUUGGAUCGUCAGUUUCAGGCACAACUAAAGCCACUUCUUCAACAGGACAUCUUUCAUGAUGUUCUGCUGAUGAAUCUAACCGCAACCCAUUUGUGUGUUUUCCAUCAGUACUCUCCUGACUUGCCAUUGCUGACCAAUAAAGACACAAACUGUAAUAAAAAAAAUCCCUUCUUUUUGGCCCUUCUCUCUUACUUCAGAAGAAGUGAAGAGAAGACAAGGGAGUUUCUAACUCAAACUUGAGUACUUCGGUUCUCAGGCUGGUUGAAAUAUAUAGCAACGAGUGAAUAUUUUUGGGGGACAAGAAUAGCCUUUGGAAAAUAGGGUUUUUACCAUUUUUAGAAUGGUAAAAAAGAUAAUUUCUUGGGUCCUCUGGCUUGAUACAGCAUUGAAUGCUGACUUGAUCACUGACUUAUGUGAUAACUAUAUAUCAUCCUCUUGGAAUUUUUGUCAAUGAUCAAUAGGAGAUUUAUUUUAGUUAAUUAGCGCUUGUUUAUAAUUCCAGAGAGCAGUAAUCAUCACCUGGACGCUCGCAUUUAUUAGAGAGUCGAUGAUUAAUAUAAAAUAUGGCCAAUGAUUAAUUAAUUCCAUAAAUAUAUAGAUUUUACAAGAUAUUAACUCUCUUUUGACAGGAAAAAAGAAAAAUACUGAUGGCCGAUGCAUGCGUGGAGACCACAUGUCAAGAACGACAAGGCACGCUUUUGUCUUGGACCUCUUGGUCCUAGAGAGUGCCAGCAUGGUGGACCACGUGGAAUUGUUGUGGGUCCUACGUGGAAUGUUACUGUGUUCGGUAGGGGGGCCAUUCCUUUGGUGAGUAACGGUGCCACGGAGGAGAAAAGGUUGUGCUUUGCCCAUGGUCUUUGGUGGCUUCCACGUGUCAAACAUGCCAACGUUGGAAAAGGAAACGAUCAAAAUUACUUACAGUAGAUAGCUUAUCUUAAACCUUAUUGCCGUAUAAAAAUACAAAUACAAAUACAAAAAAAGAAAUUAUUUCAAAAAUCUUGCAAAAUGGAUAGCAGAGGAGAUAGGAACGGUUGACAGCUGUUCUGAAAAAAGAUAAAAAUUUAUUUUCAUCUCUUCAAUCAAAUAUAUUUUAAUCAUUUUUAUUCUAGAAUGCUACGUGCAUAUUUUUUUUUAAAAAAAAAGAAAAUAUAAAAAAGUAGCUGGUAACCGAACCAUCCCAACGAGUGAUUUUGCCUAGUUUUGUCGAGCAUCAAGAUCACUUGAGAGGUGGUCCUUUUGACACCAUUGGAAGUGAACCAAAGCGAAAGGCCGGUGGUGCAUCUUUGCAGCUGACGGAUCGAGAACUAUGGACCGAUCAAUUUUUCUCUAGUGGAGGAUCCAGGGACCCGUGGCUCCUAUGGCGUUGACUCAUGCUCUGGAUUCCGGCCCCCUCAAAUUAACCAGCAGCCUUCCAAUUUAAAUUGAUCUAUUUUUGAUGAUAUCCAAGGUCUUUUAAGAACUUAAAACUACAGUAGAGACCCAAGAAUUCCUAAAUUUUCUCCAAAUCCAUCAAUAUAAGAAGCUUUUACGAAACCCUAUUUUAUUUCCCAUUUCGUGCAUGAUUCUAAAUUUGUAGUUCCUUUUUUCUUUUUAGAAUUAGAUUGCAGUUCAAUUAAAUAGCAAUAUAUAUAUAUAUAUAUAUAUAUAUAUAUAUAUAUAUGUUCCUAAUUUCUUUUCACGAGACUCCCUAACUUUGAUUAUAAAAAAAAUCUAUGAGAACAACCAGAAAGUUAAACAAAGAAAACGGGGAACAUCGACCGUGAUUAUAAAUGCCUUAGGUUGCCUCUUUUUUACCAAGAAAAAAAUAUGUUUUGGCUUGGUUUUAUUGGUGCAUAAAAAGAAGUGUAAUUUCUAAAUUGCAGGUAGCUAGGUUUAUUUCCAAUCAUACUCGGGGGUAUUCACAUUGAAAAAUAAAAUAAAAUAAAAUAAAAUAAAGAUAUUAGAUAAAAGACCUGCCAUCUAGAUCUACCAUACCAAACAAAAAAAGUGGGCUCACGGCUCACCUUCCAAUUUUAAGUUUGAGGAACUUGUUACCCUUUUCCCCCAAGUAUCGAUCUUUCAACAAAUCCAUGCUGUUUUGAUCCAUCCACAGGUCCCAUGAUUUAGGCAUCCACUAAAGCUUCUCUCGUUCUCACAUCCCUAGCUAGGACUAAAAAAAUGAACUCAUGAGGGUCCAUGAUUGAACAUUUAUGAGUAGCGGAUAUAUAUAUAUAAUACGGUUUAUAUUUUAUCUAAUAUAUAUUUAAAAGUGUUUAGGAAAUUAAUAUAUGUUAAUGGGAGAUCACAUUGAAACAUAAGUCCUACGUGCCACAAGAUUUUCGCCAUGUGCUUAAGUACUCUCUCAACUUUUUGAUUAUUCAUGACUCGUAGCCAUAUAUAUAUUGCAUCAAUAUCCCAUGCCAUGCCCACAGCGAGUGUGACCUAACAUGUCCCAUUAUAACCUGUCGUGUGCUCUGCCUGCCUAAGUCUUCCUUCCUUAAGCUCCUAGCUAGUCAAAAGUGAUAAAUCUAGUGGCUUUGUGGUCCGAUGUAUGGUACUGUUUCCCUCUUGGAUGUUAUGUUGGAAACCCCCCACCUUUGAGUGUGUGUCAUCCUCAGCUAUGUAAUUAUUUGACACCAAAUCCCUUUCACUCGGAGAAAAAAAAUACACGCCAAUAUUUCAUGUGCUAAAUUGAUUGCUUUGCUUGCAUUUCUUUUAGUUGUUGUCAUAUUCUUGGAUUAAUUUUCACAUGUUAUGAACUGGGUUACUUGUAUGUAUGGUGUGCAUUCAUACGAAAUUGUGUUGUUGCGAUCCUUUCCUUUCUUGAAUUCGGAAUCAAGAUACCUUGAGGAACAAACCCAUUUAAUUUCCACAUCCAACAACUUAAGAAUUUGCUAGGUUGCUUUAAGGAUUUGCUGCUAGCUAGAUUGCUCUUGUCUUGGAUCAUGCGCGCGGCACAUGUUAGUGUAUUUUCUAAUAAAAUCAUGUGUUUGAGUGGCCGCUUGCAGUUUGUGCACUGUGGAUGGAGAUGAAGGCAUUCGAAUGGGAACGCCGCCCCUUCACAUCAAGAACAAAUGCAAGCAAAUAGUGUCCUCGUACAUAAGAAUUUCCAAAUUUCUCAUGUAAAAAUUCAAGGACCACACCGACUUGGUCACAUUUUUUCAUAUGAUUACAAUCUCAUAUGAAUUAAUUGCAUAUGACAUCAAGUAUUGUGCUUGAAUAUCUUAUUACCAUACCAUAUUAUACAUGGCAAAAUUGCUUACAUUAUGAUUAACAUUAGCUAAACUAAUUUAAAGGUUCACGAAAAGGGCAAUCUUAAUUAUUAGCUACAUAAUAGAGCAAGCAUUAGGGUUUUCAUCGCUGAAAAAUUCAGGAGCAUAAGCAUACUGAUCAGAGUAAUACUUUGAUGGCCAAUAUUCACUUUUCUUGAUAUCUGGUUUCUUAUCAUCCCCUUCCUUCUCUUCUUCUCCUUCUUUCUUUUCUCCUUCUUUUUCUUCCUUCUUCUCUUCUUUCUUCUCUUCUUCCUUCUUCUCUUCCUCCUUCUUCUCUUCAUUUUUCACUAUGGAAGCUUGCUUUCCAGUCUUCUUGUACACAUCAUCCACCAGCUUCGAUGGAUCAACCACCCCUUUUACUAUUACUUGACCAUUGGCUAGGUCUGUUUCCACUGACUCUACACCUGCAUGAAUAUUUACUCAAUUUUCAACUUGCUCUAGGAUACAUGAAUAUUAUGGAGAAUUAGCUCUAAUGAACUCCCAUAUUAUGGAGGGAAAAAAAAGAUUUUGAGAAGAAAAUAAUCCUAUUUGAUCACUAUACAUUGCUAAUAUCAAAAAAUAAAAUAAUCAGUUGUUCUGAGUAAUUAGUCGACCUGUUCAAAGUAGCUAAAAUGAUGAUAAAUCAUGUCAGAUCGCUACUCUUGUGAUGUAAUCUCAAGCUCAAUGAACAUUCGGAUGAAGAAAUUUCCAUUAAAAAAAUUUGUGAAAAUAUCAACAUAUGUUGUAGUGUAUGCGUACCGUUCGGGAAAAAUCAUAGAAAUUGAUGGUAAAUUGCUAGAUGAUUGAAGGUGAAAUACCUUUGAUCUUUCGAAUUCUCUUUUGUAGCGAUUGAGCACAUGCUUCGCAAUGCAUUCUAACGUUCAAGACCACUGUUACAACAGGAGGAGGCUGCAGCCACCACAUUGCAAUUAAAAAUAUAGCCCGGAUAUGCAAAUAUAAAUAAUUCUUAGCUUGAGGUAGUGCUAGCUCAUCUAAAAGCAGGAAUUAAACCAGUUUUUGAGAAAAGUUGGAAACCUUUUUUUUAGCCUUUUUGAACAUUUUCUUUUUUUCUUAAAUUAACAAUAUUUAAUAACUUUGGUGUAACUUAAAUAGCAUUUAGCUGUUUUUUUUUAAAAAAAAAAAACCCAUAAUCUAACUUUAAGUAUGGAUCAAUUCUGACUCUUGUCUUGUUUUUAUUUUCAAGAGGGGGUGAAUGCCAUGGUGGCCAUAAGAAGCCAAGAGGCUCAAUACCCAAUAAGAGUGAGACAGAAACCACCAAAUUCCAUUAAACCCAUCCUCGAGACACCUGCUAAUUAUGCCGCCCAAACAGUUGAUUUAUAAGAUCCAUUAAUCUCUGUAAACAUGUGAUGAUUUUGCUAACAAUAACGAAAGGUAAUCAUAAGGAAAUGGGCUCUUCUCCUCCCUCGGAUGCUCUUGCUCUUACAAAUCCUUAAGACAAGCUGGAGAGAUUAUCACAUAAUCUUUAAGCAAGAAAACAAAACAAAAAAAAACUCUGAGCAUUAGGCCCAUAACAAUAAAUUUGAGGACGUGUGGGGUCAAAACCCUAAAUGGUCCAUCUCUUUCCUUGCGAAAUGUGCCCCAUAUUGCUGACUUGUUUUGUUACUUUCAUGUCAGUAUUGAAAGAGCAGUCACAAGAUUCACUGUAGGCAAGUGGUUAAAGUUUAGAAAGGGCCAAAAUAACUUCUUGCUUUACAGCACUAUCAAGUUGAAGCCAACCCUAAGGUCGAAGGCUCAAGACAGGAUUAUCAACCCUAACUUUGGUUGGUCAUAAAUAGAGAGUUAGGGCUUACUUUUAGCUGUGUGGAAGAAUGCGGUAAGCAUAAUUAUAGUAACUUUUGAAAUUUUUACCUCAUCCUUUUUCUCUUCUUCCUUGGGUGGAUCUUUGUUUUCUUCUUUGUUCUCUUCGGGUGGUUUUGGUAAGGGUGAAAUUAGCUCCACUUUCCUCCCAUUUUUCUUUCUCAACCUCUCACAUACCUUUAUGGGGUCUGCUUUUUUGCCUUUCACCACCACCUUGCUUGCUUUGCUAUCUGUGGUUACUUCCUCCACUCCUGUGACCCAACAUUCACUCAGGAAACGUUAGAAACUCCAUGCUUUUAGACUGGGAAAUGCAAGUAAUUACACUGCAGGUGAAACCGGUUUCCAAACAGGCAUGCGGUGAAACCCGCGUUUCUAAAUGGACUGGAUAUGCAAGUAUUAAGAACACAAUAUGCACUGAUUUUUUAAAGAAAACUCACUAAUUAUAUUCUAGAUUUUCUUUAAUUAGGAUAGAGAUGCUCAUAAAGGUGUUAGUUAAUAUGAAUUGACUCUUUUUUCCCUCUCUUCAAAGCUCUUUUUUAUAAAAACAAACAAAGAAAAUCAGUACUUGAUGUCACAGGAAAGAAAACAUCUAUACUGCAUCAAUUAAUUAAUUUAUAACAUUCAAUUUAACCUUAAUUAGGUGUAUAAAUUUGUUUUAAGAAAAUCCCUCUAUGUCUCUCUCCUAAUUAAGAAAUAUUUCUAAAUUUUGAGGGUGGAGCAUUCAAUAAUAUGGUUGAUCAGUUAAAGGUGGUAAAGAAAGAACACCUUCAAAUCCUUUCAAAGCUCUUGCAACUUUCCUAGCACAAGCUUCACAAUGCAUAUCAACCUUGAGCACAAUCUCUGGAGGCUCUUCCUCUUUCUUUUCUUCCUUCUUCUCUUCUUCCUUAGCCUCUUCCUUUUUUUCUUCCUCUUUUUUCUCCUAACAAAGAAAAUCAUCACCCCAAAAUCAUCACACGAGAAACCUAACAUAUUAAUUUGCACUUGUUCUAUAUAUUAAAUAAAGAAAUCUUUGUACAGACAUAAAGAAUAAGAGAAGGGAAAACAAAGAAACUUACUUCACCCAUUUCUGAGAUGAUUCUCAAGUACUCUCCACUUCAGAAGCUAUUGACAAAUGGAGUUACUUAUGCAUACACACACUCAGUAUAUUCAGUAACAAUGAGCAAUGAUUUCUAGCUUUUCUCUCCCCCUCUCUCUAAGUGGCUGUGGUGGAGGACCUCACAUUUAUGGAAGGUGGGGGAUUCUGCAAAUCUGAUGGGGAUUUGUUUAAUGCAGAGUAGAUUAUGUCCUUUAGCUGACUCAGCCUCUCAUAGACUGCCCUUCAUUUCCUCCUGAAUGUCCUUCAUGAGGGUAACAUUGUAGGACAUAGUGGUCAUCAAUGCUCUUGAAUGUACAAUUGAAUUCCAAUGAUGGGGGGCGGCAUCUACAUGUCCUGUGGUUAGUGUAUUUAUUUCAUCAAAAAAGGUUCAUUAAAGUAUCUUGAGAUGAUAAUAAUAUGUAUACGUAGUAGUAUAUUUUACACGAAAUGCUGGACUUUUAUCAAUCGAUCAUGAACUUUAUACUUUUUUCUUUAGAAUAUUUAUAUAAAAGUCCAAAAAGAUAUGGAUAAGGCUUUCUUUAAUUUGGAAUAUCCCCGGAAAACCUUUCAUUACAUUAGAAUAAAAUAGUAUUUAAGAUUGUGAUAAAGAUUUUUUUUUAAAAUAUAUCAAAAUAAUAUUUUUAAUAUUUAUUUAGUAGCGCAUUAAAUAGCAUGAUAAACAUUAAAAUUUAUUUUUAGCCUAUUAAUAUCAAACUUUAGUAUCAUUUAUUUUAUUUAUUUAUUGUUAAUAAUUCAUGAUAUAAUAACAUAUUAAUAUAAAAUUAAUCAUUAAAUUUUAAUUAAUAUAUUAAAAUAGUGAUAAUUAUUUAAAAAAUACUGAUAAAAACAAACUCCAUUUCUAUGGUGCAUGACUGUGAAAGGAUAAAAAGGUGUGAACAAUCAUACAAGAAACGGAGCCCACGAUUCAAUUCAGGAUUCCAAGCCCCAAGCUAUGACGAAUUGUAAGAGUAUGUUUGGUAUUGUGGUAGCUGUUGUGGUUGUGGUUUGAAAAAAUUUAUUUUAUAAAAAGUAUUUUUAGUUGAAAUUGGUUUGAAAAAAUAGGUGUUUGGUUAAAACUGUGGUUGAAAUUGAGGUUGAAAAAAAAAUAGUUUUAAUGUGUUUGGUUAAAAAAAUAUGUUUUUCAAAUUGAGGUUAUAAAUAAUUAAUAUAUAUAUAUAUAUAUAUAUAUAUAUAUGAAUGAUUUUUAAUUUAAAUAUUGUAGAUUUAACUACUGUUAUUACAUCAUGAAAUAAAUAAUAUUGAUAUCAAAUAUUUUUUAUUAUUCCAUUAAACUAUGUGCAAUGUCAUCACAUACGAAAUAAAUCUAUCAAAUAAGGACUAUAUUUUCCAUGGUUUCUUAAGCGCGCAACAACAAAAACUGAAGUUUUUGUUACGUCAUCAAGGCGAUCUCCUUCUAAUUUUUUGAAUAAAACACAAUUAAAAUAAAAAUAAAAACUGAUUUUUUUUAACUGGGUUGGACCCGGCAAGAAUAUAAUUGGAAUUGAGAUCAAAUUCCACAAAUGUUACGUCAUCAUGCGAUAUCCUUCUAAUUUAUGUAGUGUUAUUAAAUAAUAUUAAAUACUAGUUUUUCGAGUAAAACUCGAUUUUUUUUAAAAAAUUUUACAAUUUCAUUGCAUACAAAAUUCAUUCGACAAGAACUACAGUUUUCUAAAAAAUUUUGAGCGUGCAAUAAAAUUAGGUAAAAUAUUAUCAUUUAUAAAAAUUAAGAUUACAGUACGAGUAAAUUUAAUUCACCUUAAACUAAUUUUUUUUAAAAAAAAUUCAAAAAUAUUGUUCACGUUCACGUGAAUAAUAUGAAUGAAAUCACUUAACUGUACUGUUUUUUCAAAAAAAAAAAACAGUAAAACUUUUCAUGUGAACAGUGCGAGUGAAUUAAUUCACUCGCACUGGUUUUUCAAAAUAAUAAAAAAAAAAAAACUGUUCACUUUAGUGAACAGCUACAGUGGAGUCAUGCUCCACUGUUGCUGUUUUUCCCAGACGAGAAGCAGCAAAAUGCUGCUUCUUCUAAACCAGCGGUGUCAUGUGGGUCCUACCUAUUAAAAGUAUUUUUAUUUUGAUUACCAAAUGCUUAUUAACGUGAUUGUGGGUGAACAUCAUCCGCAAUCAUGUAACCAAACGGCAUCUAAAACCCAAUUUGAUGGUCGGUGUGGUAAGGCUAUCAGCAUCUUGGAAAGACAAGAAUGGAGAUGGGGCGUAUAAUACAGAGAUUGGGCCCCUUAAUUGUGUGAUCUUGCAGCCAUUCAAUGAAUGACAUGCGUGACGAUAAGCAUCAUCGUCUGCUACCGUGGCAGUGCUCUCCUCUGAAAAUGAAAAUGAAAAUGGACAUGCGAAACAAAGUUGGAGCACAAUCAAAGAAUCUCCAAAGGACAGAAAUGCAAGUUCCUUGUACAAAUUGGAAGGUAAUUGGUCAGCCAUGGGGGACGAUGCACAGAGGAAAAUGAAAGACUAUGAUGGUCAAUUGAGCACAUAUAUAGUCUUGCAGGUUGCAGGUUUUCCUCAAUUGAAGGCACUUCUAUGAAUUAAUGAAUAUCGAGAUUAUGCUUUGUUUAAUUCCUUGAUCAUAGAUUAUAAUAACCCUAAUAUAUAUAUCCAUUAUAUAUUGAUGAAAUUGUGGCUCUGCUCGGCAAUUUUAAGACCAUGAAAUCAGAAAUCAAAUGCCGCUGUUCAUGAACCAUCUAGGUGGUGGUCCAGUAGUAAGAACUUGGGAUCAAAAGGUUUGCUCCCUCUGUAGUCUCAGGUUCGAGCCCUGUGGUUGCUCAUAUGAUGACCACUGGAGGCUUACAUGGUCGUUAACUUCAGGACCCGUGGGAUUAGUCGAGGUGCGCGCAAGCUGGCCCGGACACCCACGUUAAACUAAAAAAAAAAAAAUGUUGUUGUGCAUGUGUGUGUAGCUUCAAGCUAUAGGUUUCUUAAAAAAAUUCGAUUUUUAAUUAAUGAAUUUUUUGUAGUGUAAAUAAAUAACUUUGCUAGUGUAAAUUCUUUUAUAAAUUUUAAUGGUUAUAUAAAUACAUAUUACUUAAUAUCUUUAAAGAGUGAAGGUUUCUUUUUUCUUUUUGCGUCUUCACCUCUCUCCUUUUCUUUUAUUUUCAUUGUUCUUUUCACGCUUCAUCUUUUAAUAUUUAUUUGAUUUUAAAUUUAUUUUUAUAAAUUAUUUUGAUUUUUUUAUGAGGUAUUCAUAAUAUCAAAUAAACAUUUUGAUAUUUAGUUUGUAUUUAAUUUUAUAAGCAUUUAUUUUUAUUAUCAUAUAAUUAAGUAAAAACUAGUCCAAAAAAAAAAAAACUUAAACCCAGUUGAGUUCAUCACCACAAUCACGAAUAUGGCAAGUUAAGUAGCAAAACCCGAGUCAAUUUAAUAUGUCGCCGUCUCAAUAUUAAAAUAAAAAAUCUUCUUAGAUUUUUUUAAAAGCCAAAUCACUAUUUUUAUCAAUCAUUCUGAUUAUUUUUAAACUCGUCUAGUUAACAGAGUCAUUUUGAGACAAUUUUUUUAUAGUUUAAUUUUAAACUCGUAUCAGAUAAGAAGUCGGUUGAGACGUUGUAAGAUUAAUCCUUUAGACAAUGUUUAAUAGCCAUAUAAAAUAAUUUCUUGUGAUGUGAAUAUUAUUUUUACAUUUAAAUUUUUUUGUUCAAGCUACAGCAGAGUGCGACUAGUAACUAUAACUAUACACAACAAUCCAAUCACCAUUGAUUGACCGACCUUCAAAUCCAACCCACGAAGUUGUAAUGGCCCAACUUUAAGAAACAAGAUCCAUGUCGUCCCCUCUUUGACUGACCGACCUGCUUAGCAAUUCCGCAAUUCUCAUCAAGGCAAGGCAGGAAUAUCUUUAAUCAAAUCAGAGAAAUAAAUAUCUUUAAUCAAAUCAGAGAAAUAAAUAUCUUUUUGCACGAACCGUACGUACGUGUGGAGGAGUGUUCUUGCAUCACAAGCUAGAUGGUUACUUAAUUGACUACAUGGCUUAAUUAUAUAUGGUUACAUGAAUGAUAUCUUUACUACUCAUUCAACUUCGUUAGGACAAUAUAUAUUAUUACCUCGGAAUAGAAAAAAUAAAGAUAAUUAAAAUAAAAAAAUGUUUUUGUAUAUUUUUUAAUUUAAAAUAAUAAAAAUCUAUUUUAAAAAUAAAUUUAUUUUUAUAUAUUUUUCUAUGUUAUGUAUCCUGUUUUAUUAUCUCGAAUCAAAUAAACAAAGUGGGUAAGCUUUUUGUAUUUAUGGACCCGUUUAGUUUAGACAUUGUUUGGCAUUAUAAUCUAAUCUUGCUUUUGAAAAUUCUUGAAUCUUUUUAGUUUUAAAUUAUUGUUUUAUAUUUUUAAAUAUCAAGAAUAAAUUUAAAAAAAUGAAAAAAUAUAUAUUAUUUUAAUAUAAUUUUUUUAAAAAAAUCAAUAUUUCCAAGGUAUAUUGCGGUAAUCCAGCACACCCCCACCAACUAUUCAACUGCUAAACCAUUUCUACAAUGCGAUGAGGAUUGUCUGAUUUAUGGUCUUGCCCCACUUGUGUAUGCCACGUGCCAUGUAAAUGGCCUGUAAAGUCAUGCACAGCAAGUGUGCUAGGAAAUCAUGCAUCCACUCAUAGGCAAAAUAUCUAUGCAGACAAAAUGAAUGAUUAAAAACAAUAAAAAGAGAAUACAAAGAGUAGAGAAUGAAAACAACUGGAUUGUCUCCUCCUCCUCCUCCUCUUUUUCUUGAAUAAUUAAAAGGUUAAAAUUAUUUAAAGUGACAUUUUAUUUAUUUAUUAUAUUACUAAAUUCAGGAUUUUGUAAAUUUAAUACUACUCAAUACACGAUGGUUGGCCCUGAAUCAUAUUAAUCCAAUUCAAAAGGUUACUUAGAUUAUUAAUUUAGGGUUCAGAUCAUAACUCUAUUUAACGACCGAAUUCUAAUUAAACUGUUCGUUGAGUUCGCAAUAUUAAUUUAUCACUUCUACAUAUAUACGUGGCUUAUAAUUAAAUUAAUGAAAAGGGUAAGUUUGCAAAUUUCAUAGGAUAAAAUUAAUGGAAAGAAAAUAAAAAAACAAUCAAAAGUUUAAUCAUUGACAUUUCCCUGGUGAUGGUACAUCUAUCUCCUAUAUAUUCUAAUUGCUUUCUUUAAUCUUCGAUGGUAACUGGUCGAUUCCUUUUGUGGGGUAAACGUAAUAUAUAUAUAUAUAUAAUGCCUUGAUGAUAAUUAAAAAAAAUAAAUAGUAAUGCUUCGUGAUGUCCAUUCAAGUUUGGUCAUAUAUAUAUAUAUAUGCCAACCACCCAAUUUAUCAUAUUUUUUUUGGUUAAGUCUUACAUAAGCUAGCAUGAGAGAUUUUAUGCAUCACUUAGUUAAUUACUUGUACAUUUCAUGGCUCAAAUAAGAUCUUUUCAAUGCCCAGAUGACAAAUACGAAUACAUUAAGCUCAUUAGAUCAUUGUAUAUACGACUGCCUAUUUUUGUUGAAAUGUAGUGUGUGGGCUUGAAAUUCUUGUAAAAAUCUCAGAUUUUAACUGUUAAUCUUUCUAUAGAUUAUGUUAUCUCAUAAUUACCUGUAAUUAAUGCACAAAAUAUAACCUUUGCCUAUGACAACUUAUAAAAAAAAUGCUAAAGAAUAGAAGAUAUAUUUUAAACAUAAAAAAGGGGAAAGAAAAGAAGUAAAAUCAUUUUUUUAAGACCAAGAGGAAAUGAGAGUAAUAAAAUAUUCUUUGUUUGAUAAAAUAAAAAAAAAAUAAUUUUAAAAAAAUAAUAAUUUUUAAGACUAAGAGGAAAUGAAAGGCUUACACUUUUUUAACAUUCCUCGUGUACACACGCAUGGCAUUUGUUUUUAUACAUGUUGCAAUUACACCGCUGUAGUGCAAGGGAGUGGAUGAUGAUGAUGGCUGCAUAUUUUAAAGUUUUUUUUAUUUAAAAAUAUAUGAAAAUUAUUUUUAAUAUUAAUAUAUUAAAAUUAUUGAAUAAUUAAAAUGCCCUGUGAAACACGGGCUCAGCAAAUCCAGCUUGUCACUGAAAAACAAAAAAAAAACAGAGAGAAAUGGAGGAUGGACUGCUGUAUAGCUCCAUGCUUUGGAUUCUUUAUUUCAAUGACGUGGAGGGGCACAAAUCUCAAACUAGAUUCGUCCUUACAAAAUUUGGCCUCUCUCUCAAUUCUCGGAACUUUGGGUAGGAGAGUUUGACCGUUUAAUUAGGUUUGACUUCAGCUUCCAGAAGAUGGCACCCACGGACAACUUCUGGGGCCCACCUUUUUUUCCCCCCCUUAACUUUCUCCUUCGUGUCCAUACAUAUCGAUAAGCAGAAAGACAUCCCUCGUGUCUCCUGGCACUGGGAUACAUACGUAGUUGUUAGAUAUGUGUCUGUAGGCUGCUGAUCAGUGCGGUAUUUUAUUUUUUAAAAUAUUUUUUUUUAUUAUUUUUAAAGAUUCCCUUUUAUAUUAUAUUAUAAUUAAAAAAAUAUUUUAAAAAGUAAUGCUACAAAUAAUAUAAUACUAGGAGAGUAUAAUACCAUGAGCUAGCAAGUUGCUUAACCACUUUGGUCUCUUUCUCAUUUUCAUAUGUUUAAAUCAUACCUAAAAAUCCAUUCCAUAAGAAGAUAAUCCAAUGAUGGCUCCGAGGAUAUGAAAAAUUAAUCUAUGGUGGAUGGAAAAAACAAAUCUAGUUUCAUGAGGGGAAAGAGGUGUUGGGACACGUGUAUGGUUGGCACCUACCUUAGGAGGAUGCCACAAGACCGCAACCUUUGAAUUGAAUAUCUAUCAAAACAGAAGGUGAGGAGUGCCCAUCAAAGGCAGCACAUGGAGAUGACGGAUUGGAGGUAAGGUCAGCACUUGGGAAUUGCACCAACAACAAUAUUGAUGAUGAUUGCAGCAUCAACUUCAACUCCCCAAUUUCACUUCUCCUCUUAUUAUUGGUCUCUAGAUAUACGGACAAUUUGAUUAUUCUCUCACAUUUCACUACCUGAUGAGAUGUGAUAAAUCUUCAUUUAUACGGCUCUCUCUCGGAUAUCUCCUUUCCCCAUCCAGUCUGUUCAUUCACUGUACUACUCUCUAUUCCAUCAAGCCCAUCAGGUUCAGCUCAAAGCAAAGACCAAACCAUGGCAGAAAAGGUAAGUGCAUGGAUGGAUAUGGAACUUGAUUGAUUAUGAAUUAGCCCUUUUGGUUUUUUCUUCUUUUUGUGCGCUGCUGGUCAUUGUUUUUGUCCCCAUGUACCUCGCCAAUAUCCAUCUUCUAGACCAAUAUCGAUCAUCUCUGUAGCCUAUUCUUCCUUGUCAGAGAAUAUGUUUCUGUUCUUCAGAUUUUUGUCUAUGAAUCAUGACAGUUUUCUGAUUUCUAAACGGGGUCGAUGAAUGAUUAAGUUGUUGUUGUGUGUGUGUGCUGUUAAUUAUUACUGCAGGUCACAACAAUGGUGAUCAGGGUUGAUCUUGAAUGUAAGAAAUGCCGCAAGAAGAUCAAGAAAGUGCUGUGUAAAAUCCCUCGUGAGUCUUUCUUUCUCUCUUUAUCCAUGUAACUUAGUUUGUGUUGUGUAAUGAAAGAAAAGUGAAUUAGUUUUUUCUUUGGAUUGUCAACAAGAAAUUCACAACCAGAUAUAUGACACGAAGGCAUGCACAGUGACAAUCACUGUGGUUAGCUGCUGUCCUGAAAAGAUCAAGAACAAGAUCUGCUGCAAAGGAGGUAAGGCUGUCAAGUGCAUUGAGAUCAAGGUGCCAGAAAAGCCUAAACCACCAGAGAAGCCUAAAGAACCAGAAAAACCUAAGCAACCAGAGAAGCCCAAAGAACCUGAGAAGCCUAAGGAACCAGAGAAGCCUAAAGAACCUCCACCGGCCCCGAAACCAGCUCCGAAACCCGCUCCUCCACCGCCGGUUCCAUGCCCGCCACCGGUCUACCCAAGGACAUGUUGUAGUGAAUGCUAUCAAGGGUUUGGUGGAGGCCCAUGUUACCAUGGUUAUGGCGGGCCAGCUCCCCAUUAUGAACCUUAUGGAAGGCCAGUGUAUGAUAGUUGGGGUGGUGGUGGCUGUAGCUGCCAAAGAAGUGGUUAUUAUGUGUGUAGAUGUAAUUAUGUUUCUGAUCAUAACCCCUCUACAUGCAGAAUCAUGUGAAGGGAAAAUCCUGUCCAAAACACCGACGCCCAUUGAAGAUUAUUGGAUUCAAAGUACCAUUAAAAAUCCAUAGUACUGUUGUGUCAGUGAUUAAAGCGUUGAUCACAUUUCAUCGCUAUACAUUAUCAUUACCCACGAUCAUGUCGUAGCCUUCUCCAGCUAGUUGUCUUGUGUUGAAAUGUUGGGUCAGUUUCCGUAUUGGAAUUUUUUUUUUUUGAGGUAUAGGGAUUUUAUGCAAAACAAGGAUGAAUGAGGUGUAUGUGAUAUGGGUAUUAACAAUAUUUUGUUAUAAGGUUACAAAAGUUGUUAAAAUUUUUAAUAAAUUAAUAAAAGGAAAAGUUUCCAUUUUGUAAAUCAUCGCUAUUUUUUUAUGCUGACGGUGCAACCCUUUUCUUUAACUUUCUUAUUGCCUUCUUUUCAUGGCAAAAAACAAAAUUAAUAAAAAAAAAUAAACAACUUAUGAUUUAAGCAGCAUAAACAACAAAAAAACAAAACAUUUCAUUCUGUUUGGACGAACUUAAAUAACAAGAGAUAAACUUUUUUUAUGAUUUAGAUCAACUCAGACAACAAGAAAUCAACAUCCCUCUUUUUAUUUGGGUCGACCGAAACAAUAGAAGAUCAAAACCUUUAUUGUUGUUUGGGGCAGCCUAAACAACAAGAUAAAUGUUUAUUUAAAACAGCUUAUUUGUCCUUGCAUUUUAUACCCUUAACAAAUUAGGCCUCAUUCUAAAUAGGACUGGAUCCAAUCUCGUGUAAAUUCUGCUAUGAACCUGACAUGCAUUAUAAGAUAGAGUUACUAUCUCUAAGGAAGUUAAUAUAGCGUCGCACUCUGUAUAAAUUAUCAACCAGUGUAACGUUUACCUUUCUCGUCAGUGACUAUCUCCUAUUAACAUGUAUUCUUAAAGGACAUUUACCUUCUCGUCAAUGGCUUUUUUCAUCAAUUUAUCUUCUUAAAGGAUGCCAACGUUUUAUGUCAAUCACCCUCGAGCGCCAACAUUUUCACCAAUAACACAACAAAGCACAACAAUCGACGACUCGACUUUUCAAAUCACCUAUAAUGAAAAUGAGUUAUUAUUUAUUAUUACUCCACCCUCCACGAGAUAAGAUCAAAUGAUUGAGGAGUAUAAAUACCUCGAAUCAUCAAGUACACAAUCCCAAUAAAAAAAACAUUAGACAGAACACAAAUUCACUCAAGAAGAACAACAUAUGUCACUCUUUUUCCAUUUCUAGUAUAUUAUUUUCCUUUUAUAAUUUACAAACUUAAACAUUGGAGGAUCCUCUAUUUUAAUAGGGAUCUUGUUUUAUAGAGAAAAUCAAAUCUAAAGACAAAGAUUAUAUUCAAGCCCAAACAUUUAAGCUCAAAAUGUAAUCAUGUAACGUUCAAAUUCAAUCUAAAGUUUUCAUGAUUUCAUUAGCUAUAUAGUCCAAAUGAACAAUUCACUUAAAUUUGAUAAAAAUUAACUAUAAGAGAUUAAUUCACGUAAUUUUGAUAUACACACUAAAAUAAUAUCAAACCUAAAAUUAGAUUCAAUAAAUAUAACAAAUAUAAAAAAAAGUCUGGAAAUGAUUGAAAUAUGUAAGAAAAAAGAGAGAAUUUUAACACAAUUCUCUACCGUUAUCUGCUUUCUAAGGGGCAUGGCAAGGGAUGCCCUUAUGUCAUUUCACAAAAAAAAAAAAAAAAAAAAAAAUCAAUGAUAUUUAUUAGCUUAUCCAAUCGGUCUCGACAGAGAAAGUGAGGUUUAAACUCAAUGGAGCCAGCAAACUCUAUGAGUGAUAUUGAUUUUGACUUAAUCUCUUGUCACCAAGCACUUCAUUUACUUUAAUUAAUUAAUUAAUUACAUGGACAUAUAGUCAUGUUAGCUUGCAAUGUAAUAAAAAUAAAAAGAAAAGGAGUUAGAUGCUUGAUCAUUAAUUACACAUUAAUUAUGAGGGCACAAUUAGGCAGUUGGCUAUCAUUUUUUAAAUAUAUAUAAAUAAUAAAAGCACUAAAAAUUAAAUCCAUGUUCAUGAACUUGCCCAACUAGCUAGUAGCUUUAAAUUCAAGGAAGCUUCACCCACCUAAACCCCCAAUUCUUCAUUUUCAACCUUACAUGAGCAUAGUGGUUUCAACACACACACACACACACACACACACACACACACACACACACACACAUAUAUAGUUAAUUAUUUGUAUAUUUCAUUGCCCAAAUAAUCCUUUCUAAAAUAUUUUAUGGUUUUUGGGUGUUACGCAGCCAUAAUACUUUAAAUUAAUUGUGUGUUGGAUGUUAUGUUUCAGUUUGAAAAAAAUAAGUUUAAUAAAAACUAUAAAUUAUAAUUUUUCUGUAAUCAAGAUUUUAAAAAAGAGUUUUUGGUAAAAUCUAAUACAAAAUUGUAAUGUAUAUUAAUUAACUAUAUAUUUUCAAAAUUAUAAUUAUAACAAAAUAUAAUUUUAUAAUUUCAACCUAUUCUAAACUCUGAACUCCUUGUACUUACUAAAUUUAAUGGCAAAGAUAGUAUUUGUUAGCGUUUCAAAAAUAUAUUUAUUUAAAAAAAUAUUAAAUUAAUAUAUACUUUUAGUAAUUUUUUAUAAUUCUGAUUUUAAAAGUUAAAAAAAUAUAUUAAUAUAUUUUUAAAUAAAAAAUACUUUUAAAACAUAUUCUUCACUAAAUACCAACCAAGCAAUAUAAUCUUUGGGAAUUUUGGAUAAGGACAUUAAUUAACAAAUCAUUUUUUUUCAAAUGAUUGAAAAGAAAUCCAAUCUAUUUUUUCAAAUAAAAUAUCCAAUAUUUAUUUUAAUAAAAUAAAAUAAUUUUUUUUCUAAAACUUGUUUUUUUUUAUUUUGUUCCCAUGUGAAAAGAAUAUUAUUUGUUUUUGUGGAUUAUAAAAAAAUAACAUUAUGAAGUAUUGCUAAAACCUAGCCCGACUCAACAUGUUAAUUCGAUGAUCUGUCAAGCUAGAUCUAGCUUGGAUCAGGUUUCAAGUCUAAUCAGGUUAGAAGUUGAUUUGGUUAAAUUUAAUUGACCUAGUAAUUCAAUCUUUGAUUUAGUCGACCUUUCAAAACUAAAGUGAUAUCUGAUUUGAUUUUUUUUAAAUUUUUUUUAUAAAAAAAUUUGUUUUAUUUAAAAAAAAGAUCUCAAAACAAAUAGAUUUGAAUUGAUUAGGAUUGAUUUAAAUUGAUUCAUCGAAUGAUUAGAUAGAUAAAGUUUUAUAAGCAUAUUAUAAGUUAUCAAAUAACUUUACAUACACUUGCCAAUAACUUUAGAGAUGUAUACUCACUAAUUUUUUGACAUUGAUUAUUUACAAUUUUAUUUUUUAUAAUUUAAAGUGAACUCUUAGUGUACUCUAGCCUUCUUUUUAUGAUCAAACGAUUAGCAUAAAAAAUCAUAGCAGUUGGUAUGAUAAAAUAAGUGAAAUUGUUAAUUAGUCUUUAUUCACAGUUAAGAUAAAUUAUUAGUCUUAUUUCAAAUCAUGAAAUGAUAAAAAUGAAAAUUUAUUCUAGCCAAAGCCUUUUAAAACUUUUUUUUUUUAAUUUUUCUUAGUUAUAAUUUUAUUUUUUAAUAUAAUGAUGAGUUUUUAUCAUACAAGGAUUUUUAUGAUUUUAUACUUGGAUUUAAUAUUUAUACUCUAUUUUACUAAUUUGUCAUUUAAGUUUGUAUUUUAAUUUUAUAAAAUUAAUUAAAAAAAUUAAAAAAAUCAUAUCGGUCUUCCAGGUGCUUGCUAGAUGGAGAAAGUCCUCUACCUGAAUCAAUUCAACUGGGUUAGAGACGAGUUGAAGAAAAAUCUAAAUAAUAACUUCUAGUGUACUAAAACCCCAAAAAAAAAAAACUCAAGGGACCAAAUUGUAUUGUUAUCAAAAUAAUGAAAUAUCUUUCACUGUGUAUGCUGCUGCUAUUCAAGUUGAUAAGGUCCCUCCUUAGUCCUUUCCCUCUCCUUAACCAAAACAGAGACCCCCCAAAAUGGCAUACAACCUCUGCUCUUCACCUUCUUCUCUCUACCAACCUCUCUGCAACACUCUCUCAUCUUCUUCGAGAGACUCAAAACCAAGAACCUUAAACAACAACUUCUACCAUUCUUUGAAGCUCAACACUCCCUCACCUCAAUCAAGGACAACCUCACUUCAGAUCACCAAUGUCUCAUUACAAGACCAAAAAAUCCCACAGCAAGAAACCUCAAAAGAUUCAAACUUUAAUGAAAAAAAUGGGUCCUCAUCAAAAUCCUACAUCUGGGUCAACCCCAAAAGCUCUAAAGCUUCAACUCUCAGAAAAAGUUCCUAUGAUGCUAGGUAUGCUUCUCUUAUUAAAGCUGCUAAGUCUUUGAAUUCUUGUAACCCAAAUAAAGACGAUGUCUUUAAUAUCUUGGGUGAGUUUGGCAACAAAUUGUUUGAGCAUGAUGCUGUUGUUAUUCUUAAUAACAUGUCGAAUCCAGACACUGCUUUGUUAGCAUUAAAGUUUUUCCGAGAGAGGUUGGAGUUUAAUAGAGAGGUUGUUGUUUAUAAUGUGACUAUGAAGGUUUUGAGAAAGUGUAGGGAUUUGAAUAAGGUAGAGAAGCUGUUUGAUGAAAUGAUUGAGAGAGCUGUGAAGCCUGAUAAUGUUACGUUUUCAACGAUAAUUAGUUGCGCUAGGUUGUGUAAUUUGGCUGAUAAGGCGGUCGAGUGGUUUGAGAAAAUGCCAAGUUUUGGACUUGAUCCUGAUGAUGUUACUUUUUCGACAAUGAUUGAUUCGUAUGGGCGGGUUGGUAAUGUUGAAAAGGCAUUGAGCUUGUAUGACCGUGCUAGAACCGAGAAGUGGCGUCUGGAUACAACCACAUUCUCAACGUUGAUUAGGAUUUAUAAGGAUUCUGGGAAUUUUGAUGGUUGUUUGAACGUUUAUGAAGAAAUGAAGGCUUUAGGUGUUAAACCAAAUUUGGUCAUAUAUAACACUUUGUUGGAUGCCAUGGGAAGAGCUAGGAGGCCUUGGCAGGCGAAGAAAUUUUAUCAGGAUAUAAUUGACAGUGGGUUGUCACCUAGUUAUGCGACAUAUGCAGCUCUUUUACGUGCAUAUGGUAGAGCUCGUUAUGGAGAAGAUACAAUUAAGAUUUAUAAGGAAAUGAAGGAAAAGGAGUUGAGUUUGAAUGUACUUCUUUAUAAUACCAUAUUGGCUAUGUGUGCUGAUCUUGGCUUUGUUGAUGAAGCUAUUGAGAUUUUUGAGGACAUGAAGAAUUCUGGGAUCAGUCCUGAUAGUUGGACCUUCUCGUCUAUGAUUACCAUGUCCUCAUGCUGUGGGAAAGUGUCUGAGGCAGAGAAUAUGCUGAAUGAGAUGUUUGAAGCAGGCUUUCAGCCUAAUAUCUUUGUCUUGACUUCACUUAUCCAGUGCUAUGGCAAAGCCCAACGCAUUGAUGAUGUUGUGAAGACAUUUAACCGACUUUAUGAAUUGCUUAUAACUCCAGAUGAUCGGUUCUGUGGCUGUCUUUUGAAUGUGAUGACUCAAACACCAAAUGAAGAACUUGGCAAACUUGUUGAUUGUGUUGAGAGGGCUAAUCCAAAGCUUGGUCAUGUGGUAAAACUUUUGGUAGAGGAGCAAGGCAAUGAAGGGAAUUUUAAGAAGGAAGCUGCCGAUCUGUUUGAUAAUAUUAGCACUGAAGUAAAGAAAGCGUACUGCAAUUGCUUAAUUGACCUCUGUGUCAAACUCAAUAUGUUGGAGAGAGCUUGUGAAUUGCUAGACCAUGGAUUAACACUUGGAAUUUACACAGAUAUACAGUCCAAAACGUCAACCCAGUGGUCUUUAAAUCUAAAAAGUCUCUCUUCCGGGGCAGCACUGACAGCAUUACAUGUUUGGAUAAAUGACUUGUCUAAGGCAUUGGAAGCGGGGGAGCAGCUUCCUCCGUUGCUUGGAAUCAAUACCGGGCAUGGGAAACACAAGUAUUCAGAGAAAGGUUUAGCCAAUGUGUUCGAGUCACAUUUGAAGGAACUAAAUGCUCCAUUCCAUGAGGCUCCUGAUAAGGUUGGCUGGUUCUUAACUACAAAGGUUGCAGCUGAGUCAUGGUUAGAAUCUAGAAAAUUAGCUGAUGCAGUAGCUGCAUAGGUGCCCUGCUAAUGUAGAUUUUCCAUUCUUAAUGCCUAUAAAUAUUCCAGUUCCCUUUGCUGUUGACAUUCUCUCUCUUGAUAGGGAAUUUUUGUAUUGUUAAGAUAAAUCACUAUAUUCAGCCAUUAAAGCGUUAUAUAGCUGAUCAGAUUCUAAAAUUCUAAACUGUGUUGCAGUUUCUUAAAUAGUCUGCUUGAUUGAGAGAAUUACUGAAUGAGGGAAUAUCAAGUACAAUGCAUUUUCGGGCUGAAAUUUAAAGCUAUUUAAGAUAGGAUCAAAAUCCAUAUGCUUGUGAUCUAACAGAAAAUGGAUUGUUUGCUUUCUGUACCCCCGGCACUGAACCAAAUAAAUGGUUGUGCUAAGUGACUGCAUUAUCAAAUCAAUAGACUUAGCUUCAAAUACUUUAUGCAUUAAGCUCAAUGAGACGUUUGGCUUUGAGUGUUUGCUUGCAAUGCACCAAUCGCCAUGGUUGCUGAAGUCUGAACAUCAUAAAUGAUAUGGUUGACAGCUUCAGUAUAGGUUAAAACAAUUCUUGACAUAGGCAUGUAAUCUGCACUCUCUUGUGUCAAUGCAAUGCCAGGGAAGACUUGUUACCUGCUUUGAUUUGAUACUGUACAAUGGCUACCAGCCAGUCUCUUGAGUUGGCUAUAAGCAAAGGGUUGCAAAGUCAACUGCCAUGACGACUGAAAGGUUCGCACAAUUGUUUAUAGAAGACUUUGAGCCCUAGGCAAAAGAAAAACAGAUUUCCUUUUUCUUUAAAUAGUUCUUUGGUUGCUCAAGUUCAGAAGUCAGCAGAUAAAAAAGCACAGAUAUUAAAGAAGAAAACACAUACAUAGCAUUACGCAUGAAAAAAAUAAUAUUAUUAUAACAUUUGAAAAUUUGUACAUCAAAUAAAAAAUAAGGGCAAACCUCAAAAACUACCCCCCAACUAUACUAGUAGUUUCAGCUUUAUCCACAGACAAAUUUUUGUAUCAGUUUUAUCCCAAUCUAGAAAUCUCAACCAACCCUUUCCAUGCUUGGAUUCCGUCCAAAUUAUACUUUACUUCUAUAAGAAACAACAUUUUUCUGUAGGGAAACUAACGUUUUCGGUUAAGGAAUUGUACUGAAAGGACCCAAAUGAGAAAUCAAAAGGUUGUUUGGGGACAAAAUUGAUAAUUAAAUUUGUUUUUGGGAAAAUAAUGCUGACCCAAUAGUUAGGAGGAAUUUUUUAAACUUGCCAAAAAAUAAAGAAGGAGCUAAAUAAUUGCAAGCCAAAAAUAUUAAUAAAAUGGUUAAUGAUAGAGAAAUCAACCUGUUUUUUUUUGGGAUCAAACUGUUUCCUUGUUUACAAAUCGUCAUCAAGUUUGUACACUUCAAGUUACCAUAUACACAAACCAAAAGCAUAUUGAAAAUCUUUCAAGUAAUCUCAAACAGCAAUCCACACAACUUUCAGCUCUGUCCUAGGUGUUACAAGUUCAGAACUUCUUUGUCCAUUGAUUCAGAACUUUAUUUCAACUAGCUAGAAUCAGUAAAACAGUUCGUAUUUACAUUGAAAAAUCAUUAGACAUGGUGGGAGAGUAAAUUGAAUUUCCGGUAGGUAGCCUUCAGCUGUAUCCAAUCCAAGCAAUUUUCAAGCGACUUGGUAUCCCUGUUGCAAUCCAAAUAGCUGAAGGAUUGUCAUUGCAAUAUCGAAAACUCUUUCUUCAAAAAGAACAAUUACUACUUGUUAUACAUGAACAAUUAAAGAGACAAAGACUACAGAUAUAUUUUCAACAGGUUUUACUGACCAUAUCGAAUAGUUUAUGCUCCAAAUCUUUUUGGUUUGUUCAGUUUUGCAGAUGCAGCUUCUUUUUCUCUAGCUGCUGCUUCUCUCUUCACUUUCUUGGACUCUACUUCAAUGGAUUUUGUUAGUGCAUUAACCUUCUUCAUGAGCAUCUGAAAAUAAUUUUAAUUGACAUGGUCAAUACAUAAUAGAAUAUGGAUUGCUUACUCUUGAAAGAUAAAUUAUGCCAGAGAGAGUGGUUGCAGUUACUUCACCUGAAUUUCUUGAUCUUUAGCAUUCAAACUCCUCUCUUUAGUCUCACAAGAUUUUUGUAGAUUUAUGACCGCCUUUUGAAGCCUAUCAUAUAGAAAUCCUGAAACAAUAUCUUGACUAUCAGAAUUGGCACUUCCCUUGUUUGGCAAGUCUUCAUUUCCACUAACUUUGUUCUUUGUUUCUUCUGAAUUUGUCGUGCCAUCAAUCCCGUGUUUAUCGAUACAGGAAUCGGCUUUUGUCUUAACUUCUUCAUUUUCCUUUCCGCUGAUAUCAAUAACUUUGUUUCUAGAUACCCAUAUACCUUUUGUCAACAUGUUUUCUCCAGAACCAUACUUCUUUUUGAAACUAUCAGCUCCAUUUAGUUUCCCAGAAGCAUUUGCAUUUUCAGUUUCUAUAUUUGGCUGCUGGAGAGGGGAGUUUCUAUUGAUGCUGGAUCCCCUUGGUUGUGAUGUAGAUCUCCUUCUCAUCCCUGCAUUGCUUUUUAGAAAUCCUAGUAUCUUAUUGGUGUUUCCUGGUUUAGGGGAUCCACAGGAUGCAUUAGGGUUUGCAGAGAAACUUGAUGUGUGUUUUAAGCCCUCUUCCAAUGUCUUUAGCCUCAGCUUCAUUUUUUCCUGAAGUGACAGAAACAUUAAUUGAUAAGCAAGAUGCAUCAUAAAAUUUGGGCAAAAAAAUGGAAGAGAUGUCAAUAUUUACCUUCAGUUGUGCUUCUGCAUUGGCUGUUCUCUCUGAUAUAGCUAGCUUCUCUUUUAGUCUUUGCAUCUCCGCCUGCAUGCAAAGGGAUGACAUUAGAAAUAAUGCAAAAGCAAAUGAAUUUAGUAUAUUCGAGAUGUCAUCUUUCUCUGUCAAUGCCGAUGAAAAUGAAUCGAUACGUAUUCUAGUCUAUCAGAGGCGAUCACUCGCGAAAACUGAAAAAGAAACCAUGUUCCUCGAUGAAACACAGGAAGUACUUAAGAGGGAGGAGCUGAAAGAAACUGGAUUCAAAGAAUUUGUUGGUAAUGAAAUACCUGCAGCAGCCUUCUCUCUUCAAGCCAUUGCUUGACAGGCAUGACCUUGUCAUUUUCAUCCUUCCACUCGUUAGCCACCACCAUUGCAACUCGGUUUGCUGAAACUCUGGCUCUGGCUAGCUCCCUCUCCAGCAUCCUCUUCUCCUCCUGAAAAGUUGAGCAAGUCAGGUCAGAUACCUAAAUUAGGACUAUAAUCAAUGCAGUACAAAUCAAUAAACUGAAAAAUAUUAUAAAGAUGAACUCAUGUAAGACUGAAACAUACUUUUAGUUCAGAAAUCUGUCUUCGAUAGUCACGAAUAGUAUUGGCUGCAGCUCCAGCAGCUAGAAUGGCUUCCUCAAGCUCACAAAUGGUUUGGCUAAGCUUUUCAACCUCUAAAACUUUUUGGCGAUUUGUCUUCUCUAGAAUUCUGUUCUCCUCCUGCAUUCAAUACACUUCCAAAUCAGCACCAAACAAAAUCCUCAUAGCAUGCUCAAACUAUUAACCAAAUCUCUUACAGAGUGUUACCUGGCAGAUUUCAAUCUGUCUCUUUAACUCGUAGUUUUGGUUCUGAACCUCCUCAACUAUUAAAGCCCUUUCUAGAGCACUCCGUAAGAUCCUCUCUGCUUCAAGCAGAGCCGACUCUUUUGACUUGGUGAGACGUUCCAUCGCCUUCUUAUCCUCCUGCAGCGACGCAAUCUGAAAAGGCAAUGGCAUAAGAGAACUGCACUCUGCGUAAGAGAACGGAUGACAUUCUCUUACUCUCAUUAGUUUUCUGAAAGUAAUUUCACUUCAUUAGCAUACCUCAUUUUUAUACAUUUUAAUCUCAGCCUCAAGUGGAGCAAUGACUGACUCAAUAGGAGGAGAAUCAUCACCCUUCUGAUUUGCAUGGACCCUUCUAAGAAUUGCUUCUGCAGCGUAUUGUGCUGCUAAUGCAUCUUUCUUUUCAUUUGUAAGCUUCUUGAUUUCAAGAUUCUGCAUUGAAUCAGGUUCAGAAAAAAUUGGAUCAUAUCAGUCCCAAAGCUCAGGCAUCUUUUCAUAUUGCUAGCUCGACGAAAUUUCAGUCGGAACCUAACAUACCUUGUGUUCUACAAGAUUUUCUGUGACACCAAGUUUCUGAUCCAGUUUACCAACUUCAUUCCUGAGCUGGAACCAUGAAACAGCAGAAUUGUCAAUUCUAAAUUGCAUGAACUACAGAAAAAUUGUUUUUUCCCCCCUGAUUUUCUCAGUACCUCUUCGAUAGCCUUAUCCUUCAAAGCUUCAGUUGCCCUCAAAGCCUUAAUUUCUCCUUGUGCAGAACCUAGCUCUCUCUCCCUCUCUGAAAUAAUAUCGAAAAACAAGCAUCAUAAGACAUUCUAAGUGGAAAUAUACUGUCCUUUUCCAGUUUGUAUGCUCCUAGCCUCUUAAUUUUUUACACAGGAAAAACAGCAAUGGCCUAUCCAGGCCAUAGAUUCAGGACCAAAACAAAUUGCAUUACCUAAAUUUCUUCAGUCAUUUAGAUGAAUCUCUUCCAAUGUCAACAUUCAAAUUUUCACUUCAUUAUAUAACAAAAUGUCAUGGACCAAUACAUUGUUACUCAAAGAAUUACUGUCCGUCAACACACAACAUCAUAAAACGGAACUCAAGACUCCAAGAAUUCACCCAGAUUGAACUCAAAAUAUGCAGAAACAAACAUACACUAACAAGCAAAAUGUACCCAGCACUCACUCAUUGUGCAUGUCAAUGCAUGUUCACUUGGUGUACUUUAGGGAAAAAGAUGGCAAACCUUUGAGAAGGUUCUGCAAACGGUUGAGCUCUAGGACAAUAGGGCCAGGGUGAGAAAGGGAGAGAUCCUCUCUUCCUAGAAAUUGUUCCUCAUUACAAUACCCCACCAUCUUUUCUCUUUCUUAUUACCUCCUUAAAGUUUGAAACAAAAUGCAAAAGUUUAACGACAAUAAACCACACAAGCUCCAAUAACAACAAGGUGCGGGGUUUUAUUAGACAACAUAAGAGGGUUUUGUCAGAGAUUAACAUAAGAUAUAGAAAAAAUCUGUCACUCUAAAAGAGUCCAUCUCUUAAAGGAAUUGACAUCAAAGAGAUGACUUGGAGCUUUCCUUUGUCUGAAGCAAAGUAUGAAAACCACAUUUUCCAUCACAAGCCAGCCUAGUCGGCUUUCAUUAUCUCUUCAUUCAUAUUGUGAUGGUAACCAUUACUUCCUUUUAUUUUCAAAAUUCAUAUUCUCUUGAGCUAAAUGAUAAUCCAAUACAACAUUUCUGUUUCUGAUUUGAGUGUAUCUCUUAUUUAUUAUUAAAGGAGUAUUUUUUUUUCCCUUCAAAGUAGAUUUGAUUAGUGAUGUUGAAUCCAAAUUUUCAGAAUUUUCCUUACUGGGAUUACAGUUUGGAGUUUAUAGUACCACCUAAUCUAUGAAAAGUAUUGUUGUGAUCGGUGAUAUAUAUAUAUAUAUAAAAGGAGUAUACUGUAAGGAUAUUGGUUGUUGGUGCCAUUUCUUGCAAUCUUGAUUUAUCAUAAUAACCAUGUCUUUUUUUUAAAAUUCAAAUUGGUUUUUAAUUAGAGUACAAGUUGAUAUACCAGAUUGAUUAUUUCAAUUUUAUAUUGUUUAAUCUUAAAUUCCAGCUCAAAUCAAAUGUUAGUAUUGUUGUGAUCGGUGAUAUAUAUAUAUAUAUAUAUAUAUAUAUAUAAAAGGAGUAUUCUGUAAGGAUAUUGGUUGUUGGUGCCAUUUCUUGCAAUCUUGAUUUAUCAUAAAUAAAUGCCCAAAAAUGAAAAUCAUUUUAGAGUUUUAUUGUUCUUGUCAUGAUCGGGUAAUGAUGAUAGAAAGCUCAUGCUUUUGGAGUAAAUCAAUUGCUUAAGCGCUAAACCAUGCCAUUUUUUUUUUCCUAGUUAGAAGUCAUUCAAGAGAGAUUUUGAAUUGAAACAAAGAAAAAGAAAAGGAAAAUGAUGUAUUGAUGACUCGAAAUUGAAAAAGACAAGCAGAAGAGGCUUAAAAGAACAAAAACAUUUCGUAAAUAUAAACAUUAAAUGUACAUAAAUCAUCAUCUUUGCUUGCAAGUAUGAUUGGAUACAAGAAACUACAUGAAGACAAGGAAACUAACAUGGAGAUCCAGUUGUUUUUUAACACUUUACAUAACUUCGUGUUUUCUUGUUUUUUUCUCUUAGAUGACAGAGGCAGGACUCUGCCGCCGCCGCCACCCCCAUCUCCUUACCACCACCACCACCCAUUUAGCUCACAAAGAUGAGAGGGACCAUGACCAAAUCCAAUACACCACCAAAACACUCAAUUGGGUUUUUGAUUAGCAUAAAGAUGGUGGCUUUUCAAUGGUUAAUUAUGACUUGAUUGAUUACAGACUAGCAUUGUUUUCUGGAGUGAUGUGAUGGUGAACAAGUUAAGCUUCUUGAUAGAAUUAUUUAUACUUUAUUGUUUGUUUUACUUGGGCUCAUGGAUUAGAAAGUUUUGUUCUUCGUUUUCCUAAUGCAAAAAAGAUGGGGAAAUCAUAUGUGGGCUAGGCUGCUAGAUUGAAGAAGUAUCCAGGUCCCAAAUAGUAGAGAGAGGCUUAGGUAGACACAGACUUCCAUCUUACUGAUGCGCGCAGGUUUAUUGAUCUAGAUUGAACUAUACAUAGAGAAAACUCGGUUUCGAGCUAGUGGAUUCAUCUGAAUUAACUCUAGUUUAAUUCUUUUUUUAUUUUAUAAAAAAGUAAAAUUGUUAACAUUUUAAAGAAAAGAAUUAAAAAGAAAAAAAAUUAAUAGUUUUUGACUGAGUUUUUCUCGAAAUUAAAAAGAAAAUUAAAUUAAAGUUCGGUUUUAAAACAGCAGAGAUAAAGAUAAGUAGUUAAGAAAAUUAACUAGAGACGAUGUUCUAGUGGGCUAGCCUCAAGUUUCAAAUUAAGGGCUCAAAAUCUCAACUUUGCAUAAGCCAGAAGGACUUAAUUAAUCAGGAGCUCGAAUUUGCUGGAGGUAUCGUGGUUUCAAAAAUUAUUACACGAAAUAAUUUGAUUUGUGGUAAAUCAAUAUUCGAAAUCAUUCCAUUCUCAAAUCCUUUCUUUAUAAAAAAGAUGAAUUUCUAAUUUUUUAUAGAUAUGAUCGAUUAUUGUGGGUAUAAUAGUAGAAGUCCAAUAUCAUGUUAUUAAUCAAAAAAAAUCUCUACCUUUUCUUUAAAUUAUUAUGGGUAUAAUUGUAGAUGUUUUAGACCACGUUAUUAUUAAAAAAAAAUUCUGUAUUUUUCCUUAGUUCAAAUGACGCCUUAAGAAAAAGCACAUUAAUACUCAACUAAAACUUAAGUAAUUUACAUCAUAAUUAUUAAACCUAACUUGGAGUUAAUUUAGUUAAGAAAAUAAGUUUUUGGGUCUUGGAUCACACAUGUUGACUAAAAUUAAAAAAAAGUUUAAGAUUUUAAUAUCUAAAAAAUUAAGAAAUAAUUUAUAUAAAUUAAAGUUAAAAAAACAAUUAAUGUGAAAGUAAUACAUAUAUAUAUAUAUAUAAAAAGUUUAGAAACAUUUCAUAUUGAUGUAAGCUAUAGAAAUUAUGUGAGGCUAAAUAUUAAUAAAUUAAUUUUAAUUUUUUUAGGUUUAUUAAAAAAUAUAAAAAAGAUCAUGUUUCACUUGGCUUACGCUGAAUCAUCCAGGUUCUAGGUUGAUCCGAUCAAUUUCAAGCCUAUUUUUUACCUAUUUAAAACUCAGCUAAGGUCUUAGGUCGUCCAAGUUUAACCGAGCUAAUUACAGGCUCGAGUUUUGCUUAUUUAAAACCCGGCUAAUAUCAAGGUCCCUGACCAACCUGUUAGUAAGCUGAUCAAGUUUCAUAAGUGGUUAGGUAUCAUAACUAUGCUUCACGAGGGAAGCUUAAUUUAAAAUGAUAUCUAGAUUAAAAUGGAAUAUAUUUUUCAUGCUUGAAUGGUAGGCAAAUGCUCGAAAGCUUGCAUUACUUGAUGAUUUCAAGAGGUGGAAUCUCUCAAGUGGAAGAAAGAAUGAAAGGUUAGCCCACAAAGUCAUCCUUUUUCACAACUUGACAUGAAACAAAAACUAAUAAUAAAUUAAGCUGAAAUGGCUAUCCUGCGCGCGAUGCUAAUCUUUUCUUGAAACCCAUAAGCACAUGGAAGAAAAACAUAUAAUAAUAAUGGUAACUUCCCUCGAUACUAAUCUUUUCUUGAAAAAAGCCAUAAAGUAGCCGACCAGUUCACGAAAUGGACAAAGAACAUAUACCUAGGCAUUCUAAUGGUGUUCUUGACUUAUGUGUCCACUGCCCUCGGCACCAAAACUAAUUACUAUUACUAUUUAUCUGCCAUUUUUUAUUAUUAAACCCAUUAACAUACAAAUUGCCAAAAUUUUAACCAAAUUCAGUUCCCACGAUCGAGUCUUUAUUUGCCUUGCGGCACAUCUACAAUUUUUUUUUCAAAUUUUUUAUUAUAUAUUUUCUUUGUACAAAUAUAUAAAAGUUGUUUGCUUUAUUUAAAACCAAAUGCUCUACCAUUAAAAGGGAAUAUUGUCGUUUGUUUUUAUAGGAAAAAUACUUUUAAAAAGUAUUUUAUAAUAUAAUAUUAAACACACACUAAGUUAGUAAGCUAAAUACAAAUAAAAUAAUUAUGUUAUGUGGAUAGAACUGAGAUAAAAAAAUUAAAAAAAAUUAAAUAAAGAGAUUGAAUCAUAAGACAUAAUCAAAAUAUUAAACUAACAAUAAAUAUUGAACAUGAAAUGAAACAAAAAAAAUUCUAAUCAAUUCUGAAGAACAGAUAAAGAAUAAAAAAUGAAAUUAAUUAAACAUGUUUAAUGUUUUGAGCUUUAACAAAAGUGGAAUGCUUUUUUUGAAUCUUGAAACAUUUUUGGCAGUUAUUUCAGUUAAUUAAAAUGAGUUUAGUUAGGUUGGUUAACGAGGUUAUUUCUGUAAUUAGAGAUAUAUGGGAGAGAACUUGGGAAUACAGAGAGGAGGGUUAUUUGUAAAAGGAAAGGAAUCUCCCCCUGACAAUCAACUACGAGACAUCCCUACCAUGAUUUCUCCUUAAAAGAAAGACACAGGCGUUCUCUCCUUGUCUCCUCCUCCCCACCUCUCUUUCUGUGCAGUUUUUCUAGUAAAAUUUGAAGCCGGCAUGGAUAUCCCAGAAAGGGUUUUCCAAUAUAGAUAUCACUUUGCUAUAGCCAUCACUGCUCCACUUGUUCUUUCCUUGCUAUUGUAUGCUGCUCCCAGGCUAAUCACCGUUCUUGCUUACUUCUGGCCUUUAUUUGCCUCCACAGCAGUCUUCUUGAUACUGGUCAUUGUCUUUGGUGGUGUUUCACAGUUGCAGGCAACAGGUCAUUAUCAUGGUGAAAAAGCAGGUGAAGGGCUUCUUGAUUAUGUUUCGGGGCAACCACAGAGUACUGUUGAUUGAGCAAUCACAAAAAUACGAGUGAAGAAAUGGUUUCAGUCUUGAGUUCAAGAGCAGGACUAUAUGAGGUCUAAUGUAGUGUUCAAUGUAGAUGCCGAAGUUGUCUCAAGAAAGUUGAAAAGAAGAAGGAGAAAGCAGCUUGAAGAUGUGAAAUCCAAUAAAGAUGUGAAAUCCAAUAUAAUAAUAAUAAUAAUUGUAAAGAUAUGUUCUUUUUAUGCAUCUAAUUAACUUCACUUAUAUCUCCUUUUAGCACCUCAAUUUCUUUUUAAUAUUUUUAAAAUUCUUAAGAACAAAAAAACACCUUCCUGAUUAACUCAAAAUUAAUUAAAGAAAUUUAUUUUCCUCUAAGAAAUGGGAAUAUAUGUAUUUUCAGACAAAAUUAAGUUUGAAAAAUGAUUGUUUCGCAACCUGUUUCUCUACAAUAUUAAGAAUGAAAACCUGCCUUAGUGUGAUUCUAUUUUGUGUUGAAUAUGAAAGAAUAAAAGUUUGAAGAGUUAAAUAUUUGAGUGUUUAGUGUUUUCAAUCAUGAUAAAAUAAUGCUAAUCCAUAUCUUCAAUUGUGAGAAAUUGCCCAAACAAGACGUUGAGCACUAGCUUUUCUUCGCAUAUUUAACAUAUUAAAUUUAUUUCCAUUGUUAAGUCUAUGUAUGCUAGCC
rnacentral:lncRNA from 1 species